AGAAUGGCGGUUGUUAGGAUAAAUCCGGCCGUUGGAUUUCCUUGAUAUUUAUUCUAAAAUGUUAGAAUAAAGGAAUUAAGAUUAUGGUGGAGUUUGGUGGAAAUCCGGUGAGCUUAACCCUAGUUAGAGUAGUGGGUUAAGCGGAAGAGAUUUGAGUGUUUAUUUUCAAAUGUUUAAUUUUCCAGAAUUUAAGUUUGGUCCUAAGCAUAUUUAUUGUGCCAGGAUACGAAAGGAACCUCGCUUGAGUAGUGAUUUGGAAUUUGUCAGGCUUAGGCCUAAAUCAGUGAGUGGACAUUUUGGUUUUUAAUUAAUAUGCAUGCAUGAUUUUAUAAGUUGCCUAUUAUAUUUUCCAAGCUUAAAUUAUAAUUUCAGUUUUUGAAUUGGUUAUGGAAUUUAAUGGAGAUUGACAGAAUGGUUAUGUUUUCGAUAAUGAACUUAUGGAUUUGAGUUUGGGUAAGAGUUUUGGUAUUUGAAUUAUGAUAUUCUUUUGAUCUCCGGAUUUGAGAUUUCUUUAAAGAUUUGAGUAUUGCCUAAUUUAUGAAACAUGGUAAUGAUAUGAGUUAUUUAUUUCAUUAAGCAUUUUAACGUGUGGGACACGUCGUUGAAUUUAAUUAAUUUCUUUACUCUUUGAAUUCUUUGAGUACGGUUGGGAAUUAUACUUAUGCUUUAAUUAUAAGUUUCGGGGAAACUCACAUGGAUAUAUGUUUCUUUAUUUAUGCCAUACUUGUCGGAUAAUAUAUUACUAAUGCUAGCAUGUUGUUCCGCCUUUCGAGGCGAUGUGGCUUCCACGUUUUAAGUGGGGUUACUCAAGCCCUUUCCUCCUUCGGGUGAUGUGAUGUAGUCGACGACAUCAUGCAAGUCCUACAUCCUCUUUGUUAUAAUAACAUGAAGGUGUAGGGAGUAUGAGAGUAUUAUUUAUUGUUGGCUAUAUCUGGGAGGCAACUGAGUCUGGGAGGCUCACUUGUAUGGCUAUAUCUGUUUCUUAUUUAUUGUUGUUGACUUGAUUAGCGGGGCUAGUCCAUCUUUUAGUUAUUCCUUUUGACGAAAGUCUUUAUGAAUCUUUGUUGUCGUUUUGACUAGCGGGGCUAGUCCCUUAUUUUGGGUGCCUUCUUCUAUGAAGGUUAUUAUUUAUCUUUGUCAUUAAUUUGACUAGUGGGGCUAGUUCGUUUUCUUGGGAUUUUCUUUAUGAAAGAUUUGUCAACAUUUGCAUGCAACAGAUUUAUUGCAUAUUGGAAAGUGGAAAAGUAUUUAAGUUUUGGUUUCUUAUCCUAUGUUUAUUUUCGUCCACUCACUCUAACGUUUUUAAAUUACUUUCCUCUGGGCCCUUUGGUUUUAAAUGCCCAGAUUGCAGGCUCAGUCUAAGUGAGGUCGGGCGUACAUGGAUUCGAGGCAUAGUCAGAGGCUGCUUCCGGUUAAUCUUUAUUCAUUGUUUUUCAUUUAACUCUAGAUAUGCUCUGAUAAUUAGUUAGUGAAUUAAUGUUGGUUAUUGUUGGUUGUGGGUUUAGUUUAGUUGAGUAAUUGUUAUAUUGGGAGAUGUGUUGGACUUGGGGAGCAGGAAGGCUCCAGGUGUUGAGGAUGGAUGUUUGGUUAUAGAAGUGUUAAGUUGAAUUUUUCAGGUAGGGGUCGUCCAUUUUUAAGGAAGGUUAUGCCGAAUUUUCAGUAAAUUUUCCUUGAAGGUGGACCCCGCAGAGUUUACCUCGGGUUUCAAGAUGAAAUUCGAGGUGGGUCCUGUCAAAGAGCAUGUGAUAUGUGCUAUACCGGUCUAUGAAGGAUUUUUCUACAAUUACUUAUGAUUUUUCGAAGUUACGGAUAUGCAUCAGAAAAAUAACACAUGUAUCGGCUUGUAACUCCAUCUCCAUCACCACCAAAGCUAGUAGAUCGUUUCAUUAGAAGAAAAAAAAAACAGUAGAUCAUUCAAACACAUGUACCUUCUCUUCUUCUUCUGCCGAAACCCAACUCGAAGUCUCAAGCCUCUCCGUGUUGAUGCUGGUCCGAGCAGCGUCUGUGGCUCCUCCUCUUGCAAGCGAGCGCCGUUGCAGUCGGAAAAAUAUGGGGACUCGCCGGAGAAACAGAAACCCAGAAAAAGAAGAAGAAAGUGAGAUCGGGGUUCGAAUAUGGAAAUAGAAGCUCAAGAGAGACUGAAAUUGAAGUAAGAGAGAAGGGAUUACCUUAGAGAAGCUUGAGCUCGCCGGAGAAGAAGGGAAUCGGUCGGGAUUAGGAAUUGGGGUUAGGGUUUGAAUUUUCGAUCUAAGAUAGGGGUGCAUACAUGUCGAGUUUGUGGGUAUGAGAAGGGAGAGGAGAGAGAGGGGAGUUGAACGCUGCUCACCAAUCGGCCAGCGGCGGCCGGACGACGACGGAGGCUCGCCUGGAAGGAGAGCGGCGCCUCUGCCCUUUUCUCUCUCGAUAGGUUUUGAGCCCUUUAGUUUGCGAGUCAAAUGGCUUAACAAUUGUGUGUGUGAGAGGUUUUGAGUAGGGCUAGCAUUUUGAGCCGAACUAACCGAGCCAACCGAGUUCCGAGCCGAGCCAACAACAUUCGGUAGCCGACAAGUCAGUAGAAGACAUCUCGGCUCGGUUGAGCCGUACCAAGUGUGAUAACUCGGCUCGGCUACGGUACACGAUUUUGUAUACCAUCAGUAUACUGUACCGACCGACAUAUACGUAUACUAGCCAAUACACAUAUAUUAUACGCCUUCAAAUGCAAAAUACAUAGCAUUUUGCAUGGACUGGGACUCGAACCAAUCACCUCACAGAUGGAGAUAAUCACCUCCAACCACUAGAGCAGAUGCUCUUUUUAUUAAUAUAUGUGCAAAAGUUAAAUUUAUUCUCUUAUAGAAAUAAAAAAUAACCUUUCUUUUCUUCUCUCCUCUGACCUCUCUCCUUGCCGUUCUUAUUCUCUCAAUCUCUCCUUGUCGUUCUUUCUUUCUUCUUCUCUCUGCUCCAUUUCAAAAUUCAAUCAUCAAUAAUUCUUUCUCUUCUUUCUCUUUCAAAGAAAUUAACCUAGACCACCAUCCACCCUUUUCUCCAAUUCUCGUCUAUCAAAGCGCACACUUUCUCCUCUUCUCAACUUCUCCUUCGCCGAAACCAUCACUGAAACUGCCAAGAUCCUCUUCGAUUCCUGCAUGUAAUUGGAACCAAGAUGGAUUUUGUGGAUAACAAGCUCGGGUUAGCCUUCUUUCUCAAUUCGUUUGGGGUUAAUUGAAAAGUAAUUCAAGUUCUUCUUCUUCUUUGUUUUUUUUUUUUUUUCUAGAAUACAGAAAUUCUGGUUUGUUCAGUAAUACCAACCGAUACCGACCGACUUUCUCGGUUACCGAACUGUCGGUAUCUCGACUUUCACGGUCGGUAACGGUAUCGAAAAACGCCUGCCGAUUGUAAUUGGUACGGUAUUCGGUAUUGGUAUUUUAGGUCGGUAACCGUCCCGAGGCCAGCCCUAGUUGAGUCCUUUACCUUUUUUUUUUUUUUUUUGUUCGAAGUGUCAAGAGUCACAUGGCUAUGGAACCAUACGGAACCCAUAUGGAACCAUUUUGAGUCCUGUACCGAUUGUUGUAUUGUUAUAAAUAAUCUAAAAUACUGAUCUAAUAAUGCCAAACAUCACGAUUCAUUUUUCUUUCAGAAUGGGAGACUCGCAUCCAAACAAUUUCAUAUGUGAAGAUAUUUUGAUUAACAUUUUAGCAAGACUGCCCGCCAAAUCCCUCGUUCGGUUUAUGUGUGUAAGCAAGUCAUGGAGUCAUAUGAUUCGCAGCUCAAGCUUUGUUACCACACAUCUCAACAUACGUCACAGAUCACGAUCAUCACUAUCUAAUUGCUACCCACUUUUAUAGAGGUAAAAACAUGGACAGCUAUCUCAUAUCGCUCUUUUCUAAUCAAACAUUUGAGCUGUGCUUGGAGUUACAACAUCCCUUGUGGACCGGAAAAUGCUUCGAAGUUUAUGGCUCAAGUAAUGGUUUACUUUGUAUUUCUGAUGAAGAUCACCAUUUGAGUUCAACGAGUUCUACAUGCAUAUGGAACCCAUCUAUCUGAAAAUCUAUAUCUCUUCCCAAGACCAACAUGACAGAUCAUAUUGUUUUCAAGUACGUCUGUCUCUCAUUCUGUUUUCAACCAAAUCAGAAUGAUUACAAGGUGGUAAAGAUGUUGGAUCACAAUAGGCCUUCCAUGGAAGUUGAGGUUUAUAGUCUAAGCACCAACUCCUGGAAAGUGAUUGAACAAGCUCCUCGGUUAAAUUCCCUGUGGUGGCUCAUGGGGAAUGAAGUUUGCAAUGGAAUUGUAUACUGGCUGGUUUAGGAUGAUGGUCACAGGAUCGUGUCUUUCGACACCGGAAGUGAAAGUUUUGAUGAAUCGCUAGUUCCAGAUUCCAUAUUGACUAUUAAUGGUUUUGUCAAGAUUAAAGUGUACAAGGAAACCAUAAGCCUGCUUCAAGGUACUACGAAUAUUGAUUUCUGGGUUCUACAACAAGGCUCUUUUCAAAGGCUGCGCACUAUUUUUCUGCCAAAUUAUGCCCCUCUAGGCUUAUUUACAGAUAAUGGACUCUUGGUACAAGAAAAAUCAACAUACAGUGAGCUAGAUUUGUUUGAUCUUGAAUCCAACCAAAUUAAGAGUACCGGAAUCCUUAUAUGCGAUCCUAAGCUCUAUACUUACAAAGGAAGUCUAGUUCUGCUCGAUCAUUAGUAUCAAAGGUAUAAACUUCUUUGCUGGAUUCUGGUCCGUAUGCUGGACAAGUCGGAGGAGGCUUGAGUUUCAGUAUAAGCAUGUUGCCGUAACUCUGGUAUGAUGGUGCUAUUGAAAUUUGUUAGGUCUUGUUUGGAAUGAUGGAGAAGAUGUAUGGAGUUGCAAACUAGUAGUCUUGUUAUCUAAGAUCUAACAAAAUGUCUAGAUUUGGAAUUACUCCUAUCUUUUUUCUUUUCUUGGUAUUUGCUUGACUAUUAUUAUUCCUUCAAUCUUCUGUUAUCAUAUAUUAUUAUGUUGUCAUAGCUACUGAUCUUGGUUUUGUCACUUCAAAUCACCAACUGCUCUCUACCAAGGCCUGUGAAGGGAAUUUGACUGUAACAGUUCAUAUAUGUAUGUAACGCAUGCUUUAAACCAAAUAGAUUGCCCACAGUUUAGGGGUAUCAUCAGAAUGAAGGACCACGUCAGACUGCCACGUGGUUAUUCGGGAACAUUGAAAAAUUUCUCGUUAGGAGUUUCUCUAUUAUGGUGUUUGUCAUAGGCUCAUGCCGUAAUGUUCGUAGAUGUUUACUUAAAAGUUAAAACCAGCCAAAUAUAGCGAAGGCACGCCAUGGUCAACAGUUCAAGCAAUAUUGCCUGCUUUAUUGGCCUUUCCUGCCAUACACAAACUUGAAUGCUGCAAUAGAAAUGCAGGGUGCAGUCCUAUCUUAAUUAUGCUAUAAGAUACUUAACUAAAACAUAGAAGUAGAUUAAAUUAUGAACAAUCUAUAUUCGGUCGUACAAGAAAAAAGGGCAAAAAAAACACUGUUUUAUUUGGCUUCUUGUUUUUCAUAGAAGAGGGGCCAUGGCCAAAAACGCAGAGCAGUUCAAAUGAAACGGUACGAGAAGAAUGAAGUGCUUAACCCACCAGAUCACUCUUCUCUUUCCCCCAAACCUCACUCCCCAAAUUGCCAAAGAAAAAAAAAAAAAAAAACCCCAAAACCCCAACCCGUUUUCUUCACAUGAUCCUGAAGCUGAUUAUCAGAAUGUUGCUUGUAUGGAAUAUGGGAUGUAAAUUUAGUCGUGAGGAAUCUCUUUGAUUUAGAUAACAGAUAAAUUAAUAUGUCACAGUGAAAAACUGAAAAUAAAUUUAGCUCCUUUAAAUGGUAAAAUCACUCACUGAUGUAUUGAUUUAUUGAAGUUUCUCUUAAUGCUAUAACAAGUAAUAACGAUAAAAAACAAGAACACUAGCAGGCAUGAAUGACCAAAAAUCGAAAAGAUUAAAACCGCUUAGAACCAUUUCAGGUAAUCCCGACACAUCCCAAAUUCUCUAAGUCCUUGCAACCAAGGUAAGCAAGAAAUCCUUGUAGUUCCCAUGAGCUGUCUCUUCAAUUUUGCUGGAUAGAGAAACUCCAUACUGGUUCUGGUAUUCCUCUUUAAUCUGUUUCAUAUCUGUGUCAGCUCGGGUCACAAUUACUCUAGUCAGUCCCUUUUUGGUGUUCUUGUCCACAUCAUUCCUCAAUGCCACUUCCAACACCUGAGGAAAAGAAUUGAAGAAUGUCAUCCAUAAUGGCCAGAUAUCGGGAAUUUUAUGCAUGGAAAGUUUAACAUAUAUCUGAACUAUAAAAUCAGAGAUGAUUCCAGUGACAACAUGUGACAUUUGUUGACAUAACAUGCCAAGAGAGAAAUUGUUUAUAUGCUAUGCUAUGUAAUUCGAUUGCAGUUUUGCCUUACCUUGCUGAAAUAUGUGUGAGGAGUACAUAGGCAUUGCACCGUCUCUUUUAACCUCAAAUCAGCACCAAGAUCCUAAACAAAGCACCCAUUAGAAUCAACUAAUAUAUGCCUACAAGCUCAACAUUAUUACUUUAAAAUUUAAGCAACUAUUAAAGAUUAGAAGACCAGCUUGAAAUGUUUUGCCACUUGAGUUGAUUGUGAAUUCUCAUACAUACCUCAUUCAUGUUGUUGCCAGAAAUCUCCUUGUAGUGUUUAUAUACUACUUGGAGAUGAGCCUUGCUCCUUGUUGAUAGUAUCCUAAUAACCUCAUCAUCUUCAAUGGGAUUUGUGUUAUCUGUGUUCUUAAUCACAUGAUAAAGUGUUUGUGCCUCAGAUUUUGCAGUCGCAUCGUUAACCUUUGCUCCUUCAUACCUAUAGGCACUCACAAGUGCAACCAAGAGCUGUAAAAGGAAAUGCCACAAAGAAAAGAAAAACACCAGUUAAAAUCCUUUACAUUUACAUGUCAUGUAUCAUAUAAAUCGCAAGUUCAGAAAGGGAAGCGACAUAAGGCUUUCAUUUUGCACACUCCCAUGGAUAUCUGCUUGGAUAUUCAAAUGACACAAUUCCAAUUGGUCGAAAAUUGGUUUUUCUACAUGAAAACUGCUAUUCUCAUACUGACUUUGUCAUUCUUCACUUCAAAUUCAGUAUGUUACUAUUUUCAAUGCCAUAAUAAUGAAAGGGGAGUAGGAAUAGCAUUGCCUUGUCUGUAAUUUGCAAGAACAGUUACUGAAACUACAGAGGUAAAGGAUAACAUGUUCAGUCUAUUAGUAUUACAUUAUCAAGUCCCUACAUAUUUGGUAGAAACAAAAGUGUCACUAAUGAGUUUUUGGAAAUCUCAUCUCUUUGAAAUAAAGUUGAUUCCUAGAUAUUUCAUAAUCUCGAGUUUAACCAUUGCGUAUCACAACUGUGUAAUAGGCUCUAAUCGAUCAAUCAUAUAGGAAGAUAGUGAUUACCUUGCUUUCAGGGCCAUCAAUGUGGUAGGCAACAUCUUCUUCAAUGGAGUGGUCAAAGAGGGAAUGGUAGGCCUUCCUAGCUCCUAAUAGCUCUUCUGAGGAUCUAGUGCAUGCAAUCUCUACAAUGACACCAUGGACCUCAGUUCCUUUCUUCAAGGCCUCCUUCACCAAGCGAGCAUCUCUUUCCCAUGGAUGCAUAGCCCACAACACCACAGCAUUCUGACAAAUAUCAUAUAAAGAAACUCAUCAGCACCCUGUUUAUCAAACUCCACAUAGUAAUAUGAAGACGGCGGAUAGUCAUUUCAUUCAAAAAUGUCGCAUCUCAGAUUGUGAGGAUGUAAAUGCAAGGACAUAUCCAGACUUGUCUCAUUUAACAUCUAUUGGAGCAAGAGCAUUCGAAAAUCGAAGUAAAAAUGUGUCAUGAGAACUAGGAUACAAGUGCGUGGAAAUGAAACAUGGGAUGAGAAAUGCACCUUAAAGCGCAUGAAUUCAUGCUUGAGAAGCCUGACACGUUCAUCAUUCCAUCUCUCAAAGAGGCGUUCAUCCUCUUUGAACAGAUGGGGAGUUCCUUUCCUGAAACAUUUCCUCUCCUCUGGAUGGGAGUUUCCCAGUAUCGAUAUCAAUGACUUCUCAUCAACUCCAAGCCCUGCAUAUCAAUUCAUCACUCAUCAACAUCAACUAACUCAACCAAGUUAUGACCAAAACCCAAACCAGUAGAUAAAGAAAUGUCCUUGUUAACUAUCCCCAGUAAAACAUUUCUCUUUUAUAUACAGAAUUGGUACCAAAGCCUUUGCCUAUUGAGCUGAAAAUAUAAGUAAAAACUGGAGAAAUGCGUAUAUAUUUACAAAAUAUUACACCAAAAUCACAAACAAGAAAAGGAAUUGAUCAAAAUGGGCAGUAGCUAAUAUUUAAAGGAAUGUAAAUUGAAAUGGAAGAUGAAGAACAUAAAUGAAAAAGAAUGAAGAGUUUGAAAUGGGGGACCUGAGAAAGCGUUGUUGAGAGUGUUCAACUCAUCAGUGAAAGCCAUUGUUUUUGGAUUUUGCUAAGCCAACGUGUUGUGGGAUCUUCUCCCCCAUUGCUGAUUAUAUAGUACCAGUCCAUAGUUGAAGGGGGUAAUUUAGUAACUUACGCGGAGAACGGCAAAAGAUUUCAUUACAGUAUUUAUUGAUUUUGACCUGUAUUAAUUAAUUUGUUCAAUUUCACCGUUUCUUGCAGACCAAUCAACAUAUUCUGGUGGAAUUUACUAUGUUCCUACAAUUUUCUGCAAUUUCCAAUUUGCGCCCAAUUACGAAACCGUAGUACUGUAGCGUUGAGUAAUAAAGAAAUCUUUAAAAUUUAUUAUUUUGUUUUAUAGAAUUCGAUCUCUCUUCAAAAGAGAAAAAACUUCAUAAAAUUAAAACAGUUAACAUGAGAAUUGAGACAAGCUGAUGCAUGCAUUCGAGGGAAAGAUAUGAAUCCAAGGUCAUAAAUCUGCUGAGUAUGUGGAAUUCAUAUGUGGGGAUAAUCUCUUUCCAUAUAUACAAACUACGUGUGAAACAUGUGUCUCUAUUUAUCAAACUAAAAUGAAUGAUUCUUAGUUCAUUAUGAUUCAUAUUCGUUUUCCUUGUGGGUGAAGACAUAUAAUACAUUGAUUGAUAUAGUGAGUGAUGUGUUGGAACAGGUUUGCCUUAUCUCCUUUGUCCCCAGCCUCCUUAAUAUCGAUCGAUUUGGUAGCUAUCUAAGCUAGGCUGGAUUCGAUUAUUUUGUUACUUCUUAUAUAUCAUAUCAUUAUAUGCUGGGGCAUCCACGUACUCACCAACAACUUUGAUAUUGAUCAACAGGGAAAACACUAUAUAAUGCUACCAAAACCCUAGCUUACACCAUGCGAUUAUGAAAAUUUUAUGUUAUUUAUGUUCUAAUCUUCAAAGUAAGAAGCUAAGAUGAAGAACUCGAUAAUAAAUUGAUAGAAGGGCCAAUUACAUGAAAUUUUCUAUAGAAUUAUUGCUCUAAACGUGUGAAUAAAAGAAGAAAAAAUUAAAUAACUUAAGAACAUGAUGGAGGCACACUGCAUUUUUUUUUUUUUUAGGGAAAUUAAUAAUGGCCGGAGAUAUAGAGGCUAGUGUAUUUGAAAAUUCCAUAGUAUGAUAAAUGUGACAUUAUAUUAAUGAAUUGCCAGCAACAACCAAAGGUCCACCAGAUAGAAGGAAAGAUCGAAAAGCUCCAUCUCGAUCCGUUGUCUGGAACAAUAUCUUACUCACUCGCAUGCUUAAUUUCAAUCAAAGAAACAUGCAUCGUCUAUUAUAAACUAAGAACAUAUGUCUCGCCAGGAAUUAUAUAUAUAUUUCCCUUUCAGAGCGGUGUCCUUCUUUGAAAUUAAAGUGUGGACCUCUUUAUUUCGCUCACUUUCAGGUCGCAUUUCCACAUCUCAACCAUACAAUGUCUAGAAUACAGUGUAUAGAUCAUUCCUGCAAAGUUUCAUUCAAUUUGAAGAUCAUUUGGGUACCGAAUUAGAUUAAAUAAAUCAACAUAACAAAAACUGUUUAAACAGAACCUUUCGUGUAAAUCACGAUUACAGAAGCUUAAAUGAUCUUCAAAUUGGAUGAACUUUGCAGAAAUGAUCUACACACUGUGUUUUAGACAUUGUACGGUUGAGAUGUGAAAAUGCGACCUAAAAGUGAGCGAAAUAAAGAGGUCCAUACUUUAAUUUCAAAGCGGGACACCGCUUUCGAAAGAAACUGUAUAUAUAUAUAUAUAUAUAUAUAUAUAUAUAUAUAUAUAUCAAUCAUCUUAAUUUGUUUUGAUUAGUCCAAGAUCUUGGAUCAUGCUGUGGCAUGUUUAUAUAUUAGAAUUCAACACAUAAAAUAAGCCAAGGAUAUUUCAUAAAGAUUUCGUAUAGCUCAUAGUAUAAUUUUGAUGCAAAAAUAUUAUUGGUCGAUUAGGCAUUCUGAUCAUAAAACGGUUGAUUUAAAAAUACGGAAUCAGAUGAUGUUUAUUACGAAUCGAAGAAACCGACUUUUAAUUAUACUCGUAGUCAUUUUCUUUGAUGAACUCCUUUAUUUCUUGCCUUUAAUUUCAAAAGUUAAUGCACUCAAAACUGAUGCUUUCAUGAUUGUAAAGAAUUUUCAAACGUUAUUACUUAUAAGUUAUAACAUAGCCAAAAGAGGUAAAACUAAGACGAUAUUAAAAAGCAGGGGUUCAAAUCAUAAAUAUGAAUACGUGAGGGGUAAGUUUGUGAAUUAGAAAAAAUAGUGAUUUACAAAGAGUUUGACUGGGAGCGAAGUUUGAGGGUGACAAAAAAAUAAAAACUGAUUUGAUUUUGCCACACUCUGUAACUCAUCAACAUCAGCAUCCUCACCAUUCUUGUCGUCCAUUGCAGUUUUCAGAAGAGAGACAUCAGACAUGGCCACUCUUAGAGUACCAGAAGCUGUUCCUUCUCCUGAACAAGACUGUGAGAGACUCCACAAAGCCUUUGAAGGUCCUUCUUCUUCUUCCUCUUCUGAUCAUAAAGAUUUUGUCUUCAGUUUUUUUUUUCAUGCAAUGUCUGAUGAUGGGUGAACUCAUUGGAUAUGUUAGCUUUCUGGGUCUUUUCUAAGAGUUUCCUGAUUGUCUUUCUGACUUUCAAUUGGUUGUUUUGAUCUGUUCAUGCCUCAGUUGGUCUUUAAUUAUUGUGUAGUAUCAAUUAUCAAAUGUCUUUUCUGGUUUUCAUGUUACGGGGCUGAAUUGCAUAUGAUUAUUUUUUUAUUAUCUUUGAGAAUUUUGACAUUCUAUCUUGAGAUGAUAUACACGAAUCAUUGGUGUGAUCAAUGACUUUGCUAGCUUCUGUCAUUCUUUGAUCAAUCAUGUUUCUUUGUAAUUAUAAGUGUUUCUGUUAACGAGUGUAGGAUUUGGAACGGAUGAGGAGGCUGUGAUAUGGGUACUGGGACAUAGGAAUGCAAGUCAAAGGAGAGAAAUCAGAGACACUUAUCAACGCCUUUACAAUAAGUCCCUCAUUGAUGUUCUCCAUUCUGAACUCUCUGGAGAUUUUAGGGUAAUUUUCUACAGUCCUUUGUGCUUCCAGAAUUGCUUAUGAUUCAUAUCAAGGGAAAGAAUAACUUCCAAUUUUUAAUGUCAGCUUUACUUAUUCGAUGUGUAUAUAUGUAUCAACGGAAGCAAUCAUGUGUAACAGGAUGCAGUAAUUAUGUGGACAUAUGAUCCUCCUGAAAGGGAUGCUAAACUGGCAAGAGACGCACUGAAGCAGAAGAAGAAAGGCAUAAAACAACUGAAAGUGCUAGUUGAGAUAGCAUGUGCAUCAUCUCCUCACCACUUGAUGGCAGUGAGGCAGGUCUAUGGUUCACUUUUUGAAUGCUCACUUGAGGAGGACAUUGCAUCCAAUCUUUCCCUCCCCCUCAGAAAGGUGAAAGCAUAUUGAAUAGCUAGGAAAUCAUAUACUUACUAGAAUUAUGCACAAAUCACUUGCAUGUCAUUCCCUAAAACCUAUGGUGUUGGUUCCUACUUGGUAGUUGGCAAUUGGCACUCUAGCAAUUACUCAAAGAGUUACCAAAAAAAAAAAAGGCACAAAAGUGGUUCUUUGGUGGUUUGAGAAACUCCCAUUGUGGGAUUCCUCAUGUCAUGAUUCUUUUCUGAGCUACAUUGUGUGAGCAUUUUGCAAGGAUAAGAAAGCUAUUAGUUGAUGAAAAUAAUAGAGAAGAAUGCUUAUUCUUGCAAAAGUUAUUAGGUAAUGAUAAUAAUGGAAAGAUUGGUGGUGUUCUGUUCCAGUGAGUUAUUUUGGCUCAAUAGUGGCAGACUCAUUAACAUUGGCUCCAGAAUGAGCCUCUGUAUGUUUGUAGAUUAUAAAAAUUGUCAAACUUCGAUUGUCUGAAUUAGUACUAUUGUAGUUGAUAAGAGGCAAAGGGAACUAUCUCAUACUAUUUGAACCAUACAUCUCUAUUUUCUCUUUUGUCUUGCAUGUUGGCAUAAAUCACAUAGACCUCUAUGGCCACUUUUCAAUACCAUAUAUAAGUUUCUGUGUUUCACUGGAACCAGAAAUUUGGCGAUUUACAUUUCUGAUCUCUUACGCAUUUAUAUUGUUGCAUUCUGUAACUAAUAAUGCGGGUUGCCCACAGCUUCUAGUGGGUUUAGUGAGCUCAUACAGGUAUGACAGAGAGCUAGUGGAUUCCGGCAUUGCCAGUUCAGAGGCACUGAAGCUACAUGAAGCCAUCAAGACAAAGCAGUUAGAUCACAAUCAUGUUGUUUCCAUACUCAGCACAAGGAAUAUAUUUCAGCUUAGAGAAACCUUUGAGUGUUACAAGCAAAACUAUGGAACUUCCAUUGACCAGGUAUUCGCUCUAGUAUUCUCUAUGUUUUUAUUUAAGUUAUUUUUAUUUUUAUUAUUUUUUGAUCUAGUUAAGGACUACAACAAAACACUAGAGUUCCGUUCUGGCAGGACAUUAAAAAUUGUGGCGCUGGUGAUUUGGAAUCUCUCUUGACCUUGGUAAUUACUUGCAUUGAUACACCAGAGAAACAAUUUGCACAGGUAAGUUCAUUCCUACGCACCAACAUACUAUAUUAUUCAUUUUGCUUAAAUAUCUACACAGCUUCAAAGUUCAAAUUGAAUGGCCUUUAUUGAACCCCAAAGAAUAAAGGUGGUGUUUGGUUGAAUUGUGGGAAUACUAUGUAGAUAUACACAUAUUUUGAUCUCAUACUUAUGAUUCUAUCCAAACAAUGGAAUUUAUCAACUGUUUCUGAUCUUCUCCCUCAGUCCUAUUCUUUUCUUUGGUUUCGAUGUACUUGGCAGCUGUGCAAUACAGCAAUAACUUGAAUGUGGACAAUAAUUCCCGUUCUCACUUGCUGUGUAAAGAAUAAUAGAGACUCCUUGGUCCCUAGAACAGUUUCAGUUUGACAACCUAGGCCAUGUUUUGGUGAAAUGUAUCUAAUCCAGCUUUCAAUGUUUUAACGUCGUAUCUCCUUUGUACUACUGCAUAUAUCCCCCUUUUUCCAUCAUGUUCAAACCCUCAUUGUAUGGAAGAUUCUUGUCUCCUAUUUCAUUUUCUGGUCCAGCAAUACCAAGCAGAUAAGUACAGAAGUUUCACUUAAACUAUCUGAUCUGACAUGAGUUUCUGUUGUUGCUUGAACCUUUAUCAGGUCAUUAAUGAGUCUGUGGUUGGGCUCGGGACGGAUGAAGAGUCUCUGAAUAGAGCCAUUGUAAGCCGAGCUGAGAUUGACAUGAUCAAAAUCAGAGAGGAGUAUUCCACACUUUUCAAAACCAGCCUGGAAGAUGAUGUUAAGGGUGACACAUCCGGAGACUACAAAGACUUCCUGCUGACCCUGCUGGGAGCAAGAUUCUGAUUCAUUCUUCUCAUAAGUACUCAUUUCAUUUCAUUUCAACUGAGACUUCUGAUUUGGUUUUAGAAGAAAGUUGUAUGAUUACAUUAGAGUUCCUAAACUGGUCAUUUACGUGUGGCUUUAUUGACAGUGUGUAAAUACUUUCAAAUUGCUUUUAUACUGUUUCUUUUUCUUUUUUGGUAAUUUGAGAGGAGAACCAAGUUGUAUAAUCAAAAUGGAAUUGUGAAGCAGCUCACCUUCAAAAUGGAAUUGGACAAUUGGUAUUCAUUGAUACACUGAUCAUGGCAUUGGCGUUUCCCAUAGUUAUUGUUUGGUCCCUCUUUCUAUCAUUGCCCCUGAGAAACUUUGUUGUAUGCCAAUGCCUCUCAUGUGUACAGUAAACUACAAGUACCAAUCAUGUUGAUUUUUAUUUAUUUUUUUUUUCCGCUUACGUUUUGCGUUCCUUCCUAUCCUCGAAAAAAUAUAAUCAUGUUGGUCUCUUUUUUGGAACUCCUGAAACUGCCCCCAUAUAUAUAGUAUGGGAUUUAGAAGUUGUGGGUGACCUUUCUUUUUCUUUCAUCGACUCCUCACCCUUAGCCAAACUCUUGGAAUCGUGCAUUCGCGCCAAGUCGGCGCGUGACGCGCGUUGCGUCCACGCCCGCCUCAUCAAAACACAAUUCUCGUCGGAGGUUUUCGUCCACAACAGGCUCAUCGAUGCGUACGCCAAAUGUGGCUCGUUCGAUGACGCACGUAAGGUGAUUGAUAAAAUGCCUGAGAAGACACUUUCAGCUGGAACUGCAUCAUUUCCGCAUUGACCAAGUUGGGUUUGUCGAUGAGGCUCUGCAGAGUUUUGGGUCGAUGCCGGAGCCAGACCAGUGCUCGUGGAACUCGAUGGUUUCCGGGUUUGUGCAGCACUGUCGGGUAUGAACAAGCUUUGGAAUGGUUUGUUAACAUGCAUGGGAAAUUGAGAAGGGUUUUGUUCUUAAUGAGUACGCGUUUGGUAGUGGUCUUAGUGCUUGUGCUGGUUUGAGGAAGGUGAAAAUGGGUGUGCAAAUUCAUGGGGUCAUUGCCAAGUCUUGUUGCUCUUCGGAUGUUUAUAUGGGGUCUGCACUUAUUGAUAUGUACUCGAAAUGUGGGAAUGUUGCUUGCACGCAACGAGUUUUUGAUUGCAUGAGUGUGAGAAACGUUGUUUCUUGGAACAGUUUGAUAACUUGUUACGAGCAGAAUGGUCCUGCCAGGGACGCAGUGCAAGUGUUUGUGGGGAUGAUGGAUAUGCCAAGGCAGCAAGUGUAAAAGUUGCAAGAACGUUGUUUACAAAGAUGAUGGAGAAGAAUGUAGUCUCUUGGAACAGAAUGGAGAGAAUGAAGAGGCCCUUGGAAUCUUUCUCCUCCUGAAGAGAGAGUCCGUUUGGCGUACCCACUACACAUUUACGAAUCUACUAAAUGCUUGUGCAAAUCGUGUUGAUCUGCUGCUUGGCAGGCAGGCAGGCUCAUUCACACAUAUUGAAGCAUGGUUUUCAGUUCCAGGUCGGUGAAGAGCCUGAUAUUUGUUGGAAAUUCUCUAAUAGAUAUAUACAUGAAAUGCUGUCGGAUUUUUAGAAAUAUGUUAGAAAGGGAUCAUGUCUCAUGUAAUGCAAUGAUUGUGGGACAUGCGCAAAAUGGAUGGGAGUCAUGGGACUGAAGCUCUUGAAAUAUUUAGAAAAAUGCUGGUCUCUGGGGUGCAACCAGCCAACCAGACCAUGUUACUAUGAUUGGUGUUCUAUGCGCUUGUAGCCACGCAGGAUUGGUUGAAGAAGGGAGGAAUUAUUUUUACUCGAUGAAUAAAGAGCACGGGGUGGUACCCUUGAAGGACCAUUAUAUAUACAUGUAUGGUUGAUCUGCUUGGUCGAGCUGGUUGCCUUGACGAAGCUAAGAAUUUAAUAGAGGUCAUGCCAGUGCAACCUGAUGCCGUUAUAUGGCGUUCUUUGCUAGCUGCUGGUGAAGUUCAUCGUAACAUUACCUUAGGGGAAUAUGUGGCGGAGAAGCUAUUAGCUAUUGAACCUCGUGUACCAUUUUCCGCAACACCUACAUUCAUUUUUGGAAACAAAAAAUCAGUGACUGCUUUCUCUUAAAGAGGUCAGUAACAGUAUAUUGUUAUCAAAUGUAAAACCUCCUUUGCAAUUUGAUAGUGGGAUAUUGGGUCGAGUCAAGAAAGGUAUCAUAUGCUUGUAGAGAAACUAUAUCCUUUUUAUGAUAAUAAUCUGAGUCCAAUGUUUACUCUACAACUUAAGGCUUAUCUUACACCUCAGCAUUUGAAAGCAUUUUUUUCUUCCAGUAAAAUUAGUUAUUAUAAUUGUUCAUGCCACUUCAGUUCAUUUCCUUAUAGAGUGCAAUAUUGAUUUUGGUUACUUUCAUUUUCUACAGAUGGAGGGUGGUUUUGCGGAUGAGCUUUACUCAGAAAGUUUACAGCUAUUAAAAUUGCAAUUAUACGAAGCGGUUUAGGUGGUAAUUUAAGUGGUUUUAGUUAAUUGGUGAUUUAAAAGAUUAAUACACACUAUAUUUGGAUAGCUAUAAGCCUAAAAUCACCGCAUGUUAGGGUUUUUUUUUACCUCUUUUGUUUUUGUUUUCCGGUUUCUUUUUUCUUCAAAGUAUGAUGUUAAUUAGUACACAGUCAAGAUCAAUCUGGUAACUGCAUUAAUAGAGCAUCCGGUAUGUGUCAUAUCUGAAAUAUCUCUAUUAAUGCAGAUACCAUAUCGAUCAAAUUGUGUAUUUUUCCUUUUCUUAUUCUUUCUUUACUUGUCGUUGUUUUUACUUUUCUUAUUCUUUUGAUCAGAUUGUGUAUUUUUCACUUGCAUUUGCAGCAACUGCAUGCGUUACCGAUGGAUCAACUGUCUUUAACAAGCCGCCAUCUUCCACAACGGAUGUAUCAGCCUGCACAUAUGUUUGAGGGGAUGACACGGCUCAAAACAAUUUUACUUACAGCCAUUCAAGCCUUCUUUCUUUACCCUUUCCAAAACAGGCCUAACAUCUCUGUCGAUAAGUUCACACCCAUGUAACUCCACUGCAUUAAAGAAUAAGUUGUGUAUAUGCCUAAGAACUUGGAGUACAGUGGCCAGAAAAGGUCUUCCAAACCGAUCACGUUCAUCGGUCUUUGACUCAGAGUAAGGCUUAGCAUUACUGAUGCCAAACUUCUGACAACUCGAUUUGAAAAAAUGAUAUCUUGGCAUUACCAUUACAUUGUCCUGGUCCUCAUUUCUCCACACCUGUUUCUUAUCAUCAAGGAUCACAACAGCAGUGCCUCGGGCAAGUAAAACAUCUAGACCCUUUUGAUUCUUUUCCGUGCUUUCACCUCGUGAUAUGAUCCUAUCACCAAACAAUUGAUUUGCAGGGUCAAGCAGUUUGGCCAUGUGGAGCGCAUAGUCUCUGCUACCAUUCGUAUAUAUGGAAAGCUCAUAGAUUUGGCUAGCUUGCUCUAAAAAUGUCCUAACUUGUGGCCUCAGCUUGGUCAUCACUUGACCUUCCACAAUGUGAACAUCCUGCAGAGAAUGAUCAGCCUUCAGAUAUUCUUCUUCCGGUGACAUCUUGUCAAGGUGAGUGGUAUUCAGCAGGGUGUGGUCGAGAUCGAGAACCAAAUGAAGUUUCUUAUGCUUCACCAAUAGGUUUCUAGUGUUUUCGUUGCGUAAUCGACCGAUUACGUCAUCACUAAGCCCCAAAUCCUUGGUAAUGUAACCAAAUCUCAAUCCACCAGAAGACCUGAAAAUUUCAUCACCAGAAAAUCUUGCAUCUUGUUGAAUUUCCAGAUCGGUUUCUGUCUUGGGCCUCUUUGUCUUGUCAUGUAUGAAACCCAGGUCAGAAACCAAACCUCGGUUCCUCUUGCGACACCCAACAAGGUUGUCGAUCGGAGUCGGAGACACGGUCGCCAAACUCAUCAUGAUGAUCAAAUUGAGAUCCAAGAACAAUCGGAUUAGGGUUUCGCAAUUGGGAAAUUUGGGGAAUGAGAGAUGAAAGAGAAAAAUAGAAGCGAGAGAGCAAAGUGAGAGAUGGAAAGGAAGUAAAGAGGGUGAGUGUUAAAUAGAGGAGGCGCGUGUGUGUAAAUCCUAAUCGUAAUUCGAUUAGGAAAGCGCGUCCUUUCUCAGAUAUUUACUAAAGCGCGUUGGAACACCUGAACACCCUGUAAUUAAUAUUUUACAUUAUUUAUUUAUUUUACAUUUUAAAGGACGUUUUGUUUCUAAAGUGUAUAACAAACUCAAUUUAAUUAUCAUAUUUUUUUUCAUUCUUAAAAAAAAAAAUUAAAAAAAAUUAUCCAAUUGUAUAGAAGAAACAACUUAUAAUUGAUAUUUACAUUUUCUUUUUCAUAUAUCCUACAUUUUAAAGGAUUUGUAUGCAAUUCAAUUUAAUUAUCUAAUUAUUUAUAUGGGGUUUUUAUAAAAAGGGGCUGUUGAAAUUUAAUGUUAUAAUAGUAGAAAAUGCUCCUUGUAACCAAAACAACCAAAAAAAAAAAAAAGGCUCCUUGAUAUGCCUAAUAAUAAUAAAAUACCCUUACUUUUUUUUUUUGUGAAAGUGGGAAGCAUUAAAUGAGGGAAAUAAUUUGGGUGACCAGCUAUGGUCAUUUAUGAGUGAUAAACACCAUGAGAGAUGAACAAGUGUCAACAAUAAUUAUAAACAAACAUAUCAAAUACCCAAAACCCCCUGUUAUAUAUGUCCUUAAAUUGCAGCUAAGCUUUUUUAAAAUGAACAUGUGUCCCAUGUUCAUUGGCUGUGGUCACCUAACCCUUGUCACCGAAGUCGGGUUCUAUUCUUAAAUUAGUCGACCUUUUAAGAUUGAACGUUAAAAAAUUGAUCAUAAGCCAUAAAUCAAAUAUACGUACAUGAGAGAUGAUUAUUGUUCGAUCUUCAUAAGCUUUAAACCCUAGACGCUAAACCCAUAUCCACUAGUGGUGACUAUUGUUUGAUCAUUAUAAACCCUAAACCAUAUAUGCACUAGAACGGUGAUCAUGGAUCAAUCAUCACAAACCCUAAACCAUGCAUGCAUAUAUUAGGGUUGACUAGUGCUCAAUCAUCAUAAACCCUAUAUACACUAGAGCUGUCAGGAGCUCGAUCAUCAUACUAUAUACACUAGAGGUGACUAGUGCUCGAUGAUCAUAUACCAUGUGUACGCUAGAGCUGAAUAUUAGUCGAUCAUCUACUAAAGGUCACAUUAACGUACUCGAUCAUUAUAAUUCGUAAAUCAUAUAUAUAUAUAUAUAUAUAUAUAUAUACAGUCCUUCUCAGCUGCAGACGUUCACNNNNNNNNNNNNNNNNNNNNGUUAAGGCCCUCAAACUCAAGUUUUCUGGUAUGAACACAACCGGACAGAAUUCAGUCCGUCCAUUUGUUUUUGAGUUUGAGGGCCUUAACGAUCACCAAAUUGGCUGAAAUUUUGCAGACAUGAUAUACACAAUAUUAUCUAGAUACUAGACGGUGGAGAUGAGGAAAUUCGAUCGAAAAGUGGUGCAAAAAUGGAAAUCCGCACAAAAAAAUUGGUGCGGACGUCCGCAGCUAAGAAAAUCUGUAUAUAUAUACAGUCAUUCUCAGCUGCGGACGUCCGCAUUUAUUCUUACGGUGCAGAUUUCCACUUUACACUCACUUUUCAAUUGAAUUUUCAUAUCUCCACCGUCUAGUAUUUAGAUACUAACGUAUAGAUCAUCUCUGCAAAAUUUCAACAAAUUUGGUUAUCAUUAGGGCACUCAAAAUUGCGUUUUUCUGUUAUAAACAUGAACGGUUCAAGUUCGACAUAAUUAUGUUCAUCCAUUAGUUUAAUCAGUUUAAGUGCCUUAAUGAUAACCAAAUUGGCUAAAAUUUUGCAGAGAUGAUCUAUACAUUAGUAUCUAAAGACUAGACGGUGGAGAUGUGAAAAUUCGAUUGAAAAGUGAGUGUAAAGUGGAAAUCCGCACCGUAAGAAUAAAUGUUGACAUCCGCACUUGAGAAAAUCUGUAUAUAUAUAUACACACACACAUGAGAGAUGAUUAUUAUUCAAUCUUCAUAAGCCCCUCAACCCUAUAUAUAUGAGAGAUGACUUGUACUCGAUCAUCAUAAACCUUAAACCAUGCAUACAAUAGGGUUAACUAGUGCUCGAUCAUCAUAAACCUUAGAUACAUGAGGUGACUAGUGUUUGAUCAUCAUAUACCAACUAGACACUAAAGGUAACUAUUGAUCGAUUUUCACAAACCCUGAACCAUGUAUACAUUAGAGGUUGAUAUCGCUCGAUCAUCAUAAACCCUACACCAUGCAUGUCAAGACCCACCCUGAAUUUCACCCUAAAACCCGAAAUAAAUCCUACGGGGACCACCUCCAAGGAAAGUUUACCGAAAAUUCGGCAUAACCUCUUUUGAAAAUGGACAACCCUUCCUAAUAAUACCUGCAUACACUUCAGAAAAUCCAAAUCCAAAUCCAACCUUAAACUCUUGGAGCCUUCGUGCUCCCCAAAUCACAUCUCCCAAUUUAUUUACUAACUUUAAAAAGAAAAAUCUCAUAACCAACAACCACAAUUCAGAGCAACUCUAUUUGAGAGGAAAAGAACUAGAAAUAUAAAAAUGAGCGGAAGCUAUACUAUUGACUAUGUCUCUUCUCCAUAUACACCCGACCUCAACUAUGCUAACCUGCAUACUGGGCAUUUUUAAAACGAAGGGCCCAGGGGAAAACAUUUGAAACCGUUAGAGUGAGUGGACAAAAAUGAAUUCAAUAAAAAUAUUGAUGCAUUCCCAAUUUAAUUUUUCAUAGAAAUUAUGCCGCAUGUAAUAAUUUGUCUUUAUUUUCGUAUUAAAUAUUUGAUUUCAACAAUAUGAUUUUAGGUUUUAUGUUCUUUAUAAUUAUAUGUUUGUCUUUUCUAAUAUUUUGCUUUUUAUUUUCGUUUUAUGUACAUAUAGAAAUGUUUUAGGUGUUGUGUAUGCGAAGUAUAGAGAGUGAUAUGUUACCUCUAAAAUCGAAGACUUAUUCUUGUGAGCUUUAGAUGAUAGACUCUAAUAUUUAAUUUAUUUUUCUCUUCUUUAUUCAAAUUUAUGAUUUUUAAACUUUAAAAUUCGAAAUUUAUUUGGAUGGACUUUAAACUAUGGAGUCUAUAUUUUAUGUUCAAGAUGAACUUAGAAGUUUUAAAAUUAUGGUUUCAUGGUGUGCUAGUGUGGUCAAUUCCCAAUACUUUUGAAAUUAUUGAGUAUUAAACUUUCAAAGUAUCUAUUUGGUUUAUAAAUUGUUGGUUUGUUGAAGAAACAUUGCCAAAAAAAUUUAUUGAUAUAUAUAUAUAUAUUAUAUGUGCUUAUAAAAACAAGUAAUGGAAGGAAAAAAAAAGGACCUAAAAUACGAUAAUUUUUAACUAAGCCAAAAGCAUACAAAUUUUAAGAAAAAUUAUUUAAAAAAAGAAGAAGAAAAACCGAAACCGAACCGAACCACAGUUUGGUUUGGUUUCCAGUUCAAGGUCUCAAAAAAUACCAAACCGAACCGAACCGAACCGAAUUUUUUAUUCGGUUUGGUUUCCGGUUUUAGUUGAAAACCAAACCAAACAAAACCGAACCCACCCCUACCAUUUAUAAUUAAUCUGACAGCAGAAUACGAUCCGAAAAUCAUUUAUGGACAACUCUUGCACACACUUAGCGCUGCAGUUUCGAAGCCCAACAACUUCUGACCAAUGUAUCAUCAACUACGAAAUCACACCUGAGUAAACUACAUUGAUCGUCAAAAGCAAUGACAACCGGAAACAAGACUUAGCUUUUAAUACUGUCGCGCUGAGCAUGCAAAGAGCACCAAGUUACCUAUCGCACGUUGAAAUUAGUUUUCCAAACAGGAUCCACUACUACACUUUGUGGUUCGCUAACCAACAGAAAUUAUGAGUUUAAGUAAAAGUCAAAACUCAGGGCAAAUCUCUGCUCAAGCUUCAGAAUAACUAGCUUAUAGAACUUGAGGACAAAUUCCAUAACUUCGAGCUCAAAAGCUUCACAAUUCUCUGACAUUCGUUGGAAGACCCAUCUCAAAAACGUACUAGAAAUCAAAAUUCAAUAGAAUGGUUUCUACUAACCACCCUAACCCUACUGGUGAAAACACAUCCAAACAUUAAUGACCUCGCAGGUCAUACCUGGAUCAAUAAGUGGUUCUACCACGAUCUGAUCCUUAGAAAAGACGUCGCACAACUUAUCAAUAUCUACUACCCUCAAUAUUAUAACUCUUAAUAAACCUUGACUCUAGACGCUUCUUGAGUCAAUGGGGGAAAACCCUCUCCCAUAAGGCUACAUCAUGAAUUAUACCUACAACGAAACAAACCAUCUAUUCAACAUCUCCACACGACUCUCAGACUACCACAUAAGACUUACGACUCCAUGAUUCAUCGCUUAAUUGAACUCCAACUCACUUGGGAUCACCACUGGAUUUAUCCCUGAUCCAUGUCUACGACAUAACUACCAAUUUAUCAUUUAUCUCGAAACUUCGACAAAAUAACCAGAAUCUCUAACCUUCAAAUCGUAGCGUUGAAUUCGCACUCCAUAAUUUCAAGCUCUGAGGAUGCUACCCAAAAACUACAGUAGGAAUACUUUAUAUAUUCUCACACACACCACAACCAAAACUCUGCUCCAUCUCACCGAAUUAGAAAUAAGGUGAGUGAACAUAUUCUCCCAUUGAUGUGUCGUAGCUAGUCACUAAAUGCUAACGAAGUGAUGUCAAUAAACCAACUUCGAUCACAAAUUCAAGACUUAUAUCAACCACCCGGAACGACACUGCUUAAAAAAAUUACUUUGGACACCCACGCACUCUUGCUCCAUGAUCCAUUGGGUUUUAUUCCACUGCUACCACUUCCACCAACUCCACGCAACUGCUAUAGAAUACCCAUGACAACAAGCAAUAAAUUCACCAGGUGUUAUCGUAAAACUGGAGUGACCACAACCAUCUCGCUCUCACUCCACCAUUACUUUUCAAUUCCAUUUACAUUUAUCAUCUUCCAAAAACACUCAACAAAUCUGGAAACCAAACUUCAACACCUAGAAUUCCAAAAGAAAUCUAUAAUGGUCCACGAUUAAAAUAAUAUAACCGAUAUCUCACUCCACGAUUCCAAACUUGCUUGAAACUUAAACCAUUUAGUGCCAUCAUUCAAUUUCUAAAAUUCGCUGACUGUGACACCACAAGUUGUCACAACGCACUGACCAAUGACUUUCGUAAAACCAACGACCUAAAGAAAAGCAAUCCAAGUCAUUAUACUUAAGGUUUUAACCAACUACAACUAACCCACAUUAGAGACCAAAAUCAUCAGAAAUCUUACUCUUCAUUGUCUACUAAUAGCCGUCAUUCCCAAAAUAUUCUCACUACUGUCUUAAUAUAAUGCUCUAGGAAUAAUAAAAACAUAUUCAUAAUUAGAGUUGUAGAAACCAGAACAUAUACCGCCACAACCAAUAUUAUCCCAACAUGUUCCCAAUUGAUUUCUGUUGCGGAUAAAAUAGUCGGCAAAAUGACCUUCAAUUAAGACUUAUCUAAAUUGACAUUUAUCUUUUUAUGUAGCAACUUCCUGCAACCCAAUACUAGUCACAAAUCCCAUGUGACUAAUUCGCUCCGGAUUAGGGUCCUCAACAACUCGUAAAGGUACCCCUUGGAAUUACUAUGGGUACCUCUCGCAUCACUUCAACCAACCUUUACCUCAAAAUAAUACACCAUUAUUUCAAACUUUUCUUUCAACUCUUCUAUCCCAAAAAUCACAUAACUCGAUACCACGAUUUUCCAUCAGACUACUACAACUUCACACUUUCCCACUAUAAUUAGUGAAAAGCUUCAAUUAAACUUUUCACCUUCUACAAAUUCGCACGAGAUGCUCACCCUAGCAUCUUAAUCAUAACGCAAUCAAUCAUUGGUCAAAUGAAAGGAAUGUUGCCACUCAUAUGAGUUCCCAACUGGAGUUCCCAACUCGCAAUUGAACUCUAACAAUUUAUGAUAUCAACUCGAUAACCCUUGGAAAAGGCAUAAUCCAAACACCUCCUUCCUUAAUCAAAGUAGGAUGAUCACUUAAGAGGUCGGCGUAUGGAGGCAUAGUCUUGAAGAUAUAGACAUUUAUGGCACAAUACUGUCCAUAAAUAAGAUAAGAACAACUACAUCACAAAUUUAAUCAACACAUAGUGUCUAAAACAUAUAAUGCUAAUGGAUCCACCGCGGUCGGACCAUCACUCUAUAGACACUAAGCAUGACCAAGAAUAUGAGGUAGUACUAAAAAGAGAAAGGAAUCGAAUAACCUAAUGCUCUGAUACCAACUGUCAAGACCCACCUCGAAUUUCACCCUAAAACCCGAAGUAAAUCAUGCAGAGACCACCUCGAAGUAAAGUUUACCGAAAAUUCGGCAUAACCUCCCUUGAAAAUGGACAACCCUUCCUAAUAAUAUCUGCAUACAAUUCUGAAAAUCCAAAUCCAACCUUAAACUUCUGGAGCCUUCAUGCUCCCCAAAUCACAACAUCUCCUAAUUUAUUUACUAACUUUAAAAAGAAAAAUCUCAUAACCAAUAAUUAUAGUUCAGAACAACUCUAUUUGAGAGGAAAGGAACUAGAAAUAUAAAAAUGAGCGGAAGCUAUACUAUUGACUAUGCCUCUUCUCCAUGUACGCCCGACCUCAACUAUGCUAACCUGCAUACUGGGCACUUUUAAAACGAAGGGCCGAAGGGAAAAUAUUUGAAACUGUUAGAGUAAGUGGAAAAAAAUGAAUUCAAUAAAAAUAUUUGUGCAUUCUUAAUUUAAUUUUUCAUAGAAAUUAUGCCGCAUGCAACAGCUCAAAAGCUCUCAACUCAUAAACUGACAAAUACAUGACUAGCUCUGGCUAGUCUCCAAAACUUAAUAAAAUGGAGCCUCUCAUGCUAAACUAUAUAUAAAUAUAUGUGUAUGUAUUUACACUCGUCAGACUCCUUGUACAAAUUCUAUGAACAAAAUAGAAAAAUAGAAAUUCAUACAAAGCUAGGACACUUGCGUCUAACGCUCACGACGUCGCGCCAUAAUGGAAUUUUUCCUCAUUAUGACCGAAGAGGACGGAUGUAUAUACGUGUGGACUCUCUAUAUGAAAACCUAUAUGAACAAAAUAAGAAAAUAGUUUUCAUAUAGGGCUACGACGCUUAUGCAUGUCUAACACUUACGUCGCGCCAUAAUGGAAUUUUACCUCAUUAUGACGGACCAAGCACGUAUGGAUAGCUAGCAUUUACAUACAUACUAUACUCAUAAACAUCUAAUAUACAUAUCCACCGAAAAUCUUAUUUUCGGUGACUCUCCAAAAGAUGAAAAAUGCCAAAUAUCAGAGAAAACAAUUAAAUUUCAGCAGAAGAAUAACUUAUCAACAAUAUAAUGCAUCGCAUGCUUUUAAUUAAAACAAAAGUCCACUCACAACUUUAGGCAUAAGCCCGACGAAAUCCAAUCGCCACUCCAGUGAGGUCUCCUCGAAUCCUGGCACAAUUAAUAACCAUGGACCAAACUUCAAUUUCAGAAAAAGAAUACUUAAAUAUAUGACCCAAAACUUUUCCGUCUAACCCACUACCCUUUCUAGGGUUAAGCUUAUCGGAUUCAUGCCAAACUCUACCCGUAACCUCAUUUUAUUUAUUUCAACAUUCUAAAACAAUAAUAAGAGAAAUCCAACGGUCGGAUUCUACCCCAUUAACCGCCAAAAUACCAAACUUUGAAAAAUCCUAAACCUAUCCAAAAUUCCUCUAAAAAUUCCAAACUUCACAUCAAUAGUCUCCCCUUAAUAUAACACAUUUAAAACCAUGAAAAUCUCCCUAACAGCGGCGGCGCCGCGUCUGGCCGACUCCGGCGAUCUCCAAUGCCUAUCAAAUUUUAACAGCAUCUUCCUCUCAACCCACUCUACAACUUUUCUAACUAGCACAAACACAAAUUCCAAGCCUAACUAAGUCAAUUGAACAGAAACAUAUCAAGAAACCCUAGAACUUCAACUCAAUGAUUCUCCUUACCUAGCUCAAGAGAGGGUGAAACCUUUUGAGGGAUUGAUGCACAAGAGGAGAGCUUCCAAAAAAGCCAAGCAGGUCCCGCUAUUGCGGCCGGAGGAGGGAGUUUCGGUGAAGGACUUCCACUGCAUAGUCGGAGCUUCCAAGCGUGCCUACUCCCACACGGCGACGCUAGGGUGGCUCUCACCGGUCCAGGAAGAAGGCUGGGUCGAUGGCUGACCGUUUGGGACCAGUGCGGCGGCCUGACUUGGCCGGACGACGUCGGUUGGAGCCGAAGAAAAUCCGGCAGAGUGAGAGAGAGAGAGAGCGUCGGGAGGGAAGAGAGAUAAGAGAGAGAGAAGAAAAAUGUUGGGCUUUUCCCAACCGGUCCUAACCCACCAAUAAAAACCCAACUCCAAAAAUUAACACCCCAAAAAUAUUACCCUAAUAAAAAUUACCUUUUUACUAGCUAAAAUUUAACAUUUUUACCGUCUUCAAAUAUUUCUCCUACAAAUAAUUCUUCAAAAUAAUCGUCCCUCAAAACAUCUCUAGGGAUUUUUGAAACUAUAAACUCCUUUACGAAGAUGGUAAAACUUUUAUUAAUACCAAGUCAGUAAAUAUAGUAAAAAAUUUAAGAGUCAGAAUGUGACAAUACAUACAUUGGGGUGACUAGUUCUCGAUCAUCAUAAACCCUAUUAACACUAGAGGUGACUAGUACCCGAUUAUCAUAUAUCAUGUACACACUAGAGUUGAUGAUUGGUCGAUCAUCAUAAAUCAUAGACCUUACAUACAAUAGAAGUAACAUUAACUUGAUCAUCAUGAACCGUAAAUCAUAUAUACACGAAAGGUGAUUAUUGCUCAUUCUUCAUAAACCAUACAUCCAAUAUACACAUAGGAUGACUAUUGAUCGAUCGUCAUUAACCCUAAAUCAGAUAUACACGGGAGGUAUGUGCUUCAUUAAAUGUGCUCGAUGAUCCUAAAUGGUCUUCGUGGCCUAAAAUGAACCAUGUAACAGUAUACCAUCACAACUCUAAACAUAAUAAAGAUUCAUUUGUGAAUGGAAAGGCAGUCAUUAUACAAGUAGGAAGUCACUUGUGCGUGAGAAUAUGUUUAUAUAUUUCUCGUAACACGCUCGAUCUUGGUUGUUCUUUAGAGUGAGGCUACUUCUCUUAUAUGCAAGAUUUACCUAUUUUGUAAUAAAUGUCUACUCAUUUCAUAAUCGAAGUCUACUAGUUUCAUGAGACACUUGCUUAUUUAGAAGUAGACUUUUCUAUGUAAAGUCUACUCAUUUUGUAUGUUAAGUCUACUAUUUUCACGAGAGACUUGCUCAUAUAAAAGUAGACAUAAUGGGGGAGUUGGUUUUGAGAGUAUCACCUAGUGAGACCACGAUUUGGAGUAGAAUUUGAGCUUUGUAAUCGAAGUCUGGGAGUUGUCAACCACCAUCGAUAAAUCUUUCAUCUUUCUUGAUUAAAAUGGUGGGGUGGCUAUCCUUGAUGAUACAAUGAUAUUGAGGUUUAUGGUAAUUGAAAAUUUUGGGAUGGAGAUCGAUGAACCAUUCUUAACCAUGAAUAUUAGGAGUAUCAAAGGAAUUCGAUUUCGGGGUGUUGUUUGAUUUUGGGCUAAUUCAUUGUGUGAUUCUUCAGUUUAUGAAUUUGUUUCAUAGCCUAAGAGGUUGAAGAAGAAGAAGGAGAGAGAGAGAGAGAGAGAGAGAGAGAGAGAGAGAGAGAGAGAGANNNNNNNNNNNNNNNNNNNNUCGUUAGAGGGUUUUUUUUUUUUUUUUUUUUUGCAUUUACAAAAAUCCAUUACAACAGUUACAAAACUCCGUUAAACUGUUAUUUUAUGUGAACCUACGUGGACCAAUAAGACAAUGACACCUUACAAGGUAUGGAUACUCGAAGGGAUAGAAGUCUUUCCCUUAAAUUAUAUAAUUUUUUUUAAAGAAUUAUUAUAUAACUCACCCACUCUUACAUAUGUAUGUGAGGUUUGAACCGACCUCAACGUUGUCGGUCAAAUUACCUACCAAGCUACAACUCACCAACCAUUUAUAUACAUAAAGUUAGAAAACAUAAAUUUUAAUACACAAAAUUCUAACCAUUUAUCUAGAUGUACAUGAACUUUAGUGCACAUAAUCAUUUUCUACAAAAAAUGAGCUAACUGUGCACACAAUCUAGAAAUUCCCUUCAUCUAGAUGCUAUCAGAAUACAAUGGAAGCAGAGUUUUCACAAGUAUCAGUUAUCACUGUGCUACUUUGUUUCACUUCUACUAGUGCUUGGCUAGGAUCUCUUACAAGUACUGCAGAAGUAGCAUUUUCUGAUUCAGAACCACUACCUGGUUCUUGGAUUUUCCCAAGUUAAAAUACAUUUGAUUUUGUUAAUGAAAUAAAUAGAUCCACACAUGCACAGUUUGGAAUUGCCUCAUCUGCCCUUGUCCUCUUUCUUACCUUUCCCUCCUCUUUCACAGUUUCACGUAGGAGAGGUCGAGUCAAUGUUGAAAGAGAUGAAGCAUGAAGGAUGAAGCUAAGCUUAUUCCAUUCCCUCCAAAACCCUUGUCGACUUUACCUCCUGCCCUUUAAAUCCAGAACCCUAAACCCAACCCAAUUAGCUCAAUUCUCCACACACCCGCAACAACAAAUCUCACACCAACCCCACAACAAGUCCAUCUCCUACUCUAACCUAUUGUCUCAAUGCGUUGCUUCCAAAUCUGUGCGUGUGGGCAAACAGGUCCAUGCCCACUUGAUCAGAUUCGGGUUCUCCCAAGACUCGACCUUUCGGAACCAUUUGAUCAACCUCUAUGCAAAAAGCAGGUUUUUUGGGCAUGCCCGGAACCUGCUCGACCAAUGUCCUGAACCAGAUUUGGUUGCUUGGUCUGCUUUGAUUUCUGGGUAUGCCCAAAAUGGGCUUAGUCGAGAAGCCCUUUCGGCUUUUCAUGAGAUGCAUGGAUUGGGGGUGAAGAGUAAUGAGUUCACCUUCCCAAGUGUGCUCAAGGCUUGCUCUAGUUCUAAAGAUUUGAGACUGGGAAUGCAGGUUCAUGGGGUGGUGUAUGUUACCGGGUUUGAGUCCGACGAGUUUGUUGCUAAUGCUUUGGUUGUUAUGUAUUCGAAAUGUGGGGAGUUUGGGGAUACAAGGAAGUUGUUUGAUGUGAUGCAGGAAAGGAAUGUUGUGUCGUGGAAUGCCUUGUUUUCGUGUUAUGUGCAGAGUGAUUUCUUAUUGGAGGCAAUGGAUUUGUUUGAGGAAAUGGUGCUGAGUGGAGUAAGGCCUGAUGAGUAUAGUCUGUCUAGUAUAAUAAAUGUUUGUACCGGGUUGGGGGAUGGUAGAAGAGGAAGGAAACUUCAUGGAUAUGUAGUAAAGCUUGGGUAUGAUUCGGAUUUGUUCUCAGCCAAUGCCCUUGUCGACAUGUAUGCAAAAGCCAUAUGUCUUGAAGAUGCAGUUUCAGUUUUUGAGGAAAUUGCACAACCUGAUGUUGUAUCCUGGAAUGCUGUCAUUGCUGGUUGUGUUCUUCACAACUGCCAUGGUCGGGCGCUCAAAUUUUUCAGGCAACUGGGAGGGUCAGGUAUCCGUCCGAAUAUGUUUACAUUAUCAAGUGCGCUUAAAGCUUGUGCUGGGUUGUCUUUCGAGAAAUUGGGUAGGCAGUUGCACUCUUUCUUGGUAAAGAUGGAUACAGAAUCAGAUUCAUACGUCAAAGUCGGACUGAUAGAUAUGUAUUGCAAGUGUGAGAUCAUGACUGAUGCAAGGCUGCUUUUGAAUAUGAUGCCAAAGAAAGACAUGAUUGCAUGCAACGCUGUUAUCUCUGGUCAUUCACAGAUGGCCGAAGACAUAGAAGCUGUAACCCUCUUUCCUGAAAUGCAUAGGGAAGGAAUAGGAUUCAAUGACACUACUUUAUCUACAGUUCUUAAAUCCAUUGCGAGCAUGCAGGCAGCAAAAGUUUGCGAACAAGUUCAUGCUCUUUCAAUCAAAACAGGUUUUCUGUCUGACAGGUAUGUUAUAAAUAGCCUUCUUGAUGCAUAUGGAAAGUGUGGUCAAGUAGAAAAUGCAGGAAGGAUUUUUGAAGAAUGCAAAACUGAAGAUUUGGUGGCUUUCACAUCAAUGAUCACUGCCUAUGCUCAAUAUGAACAAGGUGAAGAAGCUCUAAAACUCUAUGUGCAAAUGCUACAUAGGGGGAACGAGCCUGAUUCAUUUGUAUGUAGUUCUCUUCUGAAUGCUUGUGCAAAUUUGUCCGCGUAUGAGCAAGGGAAGCAGAUUCAUGUUCACAUUCUGAAGUUUGGAUUCUUAUCUGAUGCUUUUGCCGGAAAUUCCCUUGUUAAUAUGUAUGCAAAAUGUGGAAGCAUAGAAGAUGCAGGUCGUGCUUUCUCUGAGGUACCCCAGAGAGGAAUAGUUUCAUGGUCUGCAAUGAUUGGAGGACUUGCUCAACACGGACAUGGAAAAGAGGCCAUCAAUAUGUUCAAUCAUAUGCUCGGAGAUGGUAUUUCCCCCAAUCAUAUUACUCUAGUCAGUGUCCUCUGUGCGUGCAAUCAUGCAGGUUUAGUAACUGAAGCCAGAAAAUAUUUUGAGUCAAUGAAAGAGCUGUUUGGAGUAGUGCCAAGGGAGGAACAUUAUGCCUGCAUGAUUGAUAUUCUUGGCAGAGCAGGAAAGAUACAGGAGGCAAUGGAGCUUGUCAACACGAUGCCAUUUCAAGCAAAUGCCUCAGUUUGGGGAUCACUUCUUGGUGCUGCAAGAAUCCAUAAAAAUGUGGAGCUUGGUGAACGUGCUGCUGAUAUGCUCUUAGUUCUGGAGCCUGAGAAAUCCGGUACUCAUGUACUUCUUGCAAACAUAUAUGCAGCAGCUGGCAUGUGGGACAAGGUAGCGAAAAUGAGAAGACUUAUGAAAAACAACCAGGUAAAGAAGGAACCUGGGAUGAGUUGGAUUGAGGUCCAAGACAAGGUACAUACCUUUAUUGUAGGUGACAGAAGUCAUUUGAGAAGCAGGGAGAUAUAUGUAAAACUUGAUGAGCUGCUUGACCGUAUUCAUAAAGCCGGCUAUGUUCCAAUGGUGGAAAACGACCUCCAUGAUGUGGAACAAAGCGAAAAGGAGCGGCUGCUACGGUAUCACAGUGAGAAGCUUGCAGUGGCUUUCGCAUUGAUUGCCACUCCGCCAGGAGCUCCGAUUAGGGUGAAGAAGAACUUAAGAGUGUGUGUAGAUUGCCAUACUGCAUUCAAGUUCAUCUGUAAAAUCACCUCAAGGGAGAUAAUCGUGAGGGACGUCAAUAGAUUCCAUCAUUUCAAAGAUGGCUCAUGCUCUUGUGGGGAUUACUGGUGAUUUCUACUGGAUAACAGGAUCAUUUUCCUUAUUAUCCAAGACCAAAAUUUUGUAUCCCAUUUGAUGAACUGUAUAACUUUUAAGUUCUAACAUAGAAAAUAGAAACUAAACCAACUUCACUGAUCAAAAGUAUUCAAUGCCUCUUUAGUCUAUCAAAUUCUGGACAUGACCAUGACUUCAUAUAAUUCUCAGACAAACCAACAUCGCCAAACGAAGAUGGCUUUCCGCCAUAGUCAAUCUGUUUAACCUAUUGAAAAAUGGAUAAUGUACAUGUAACAUUUAGAGAAAAAAGUGUUUGUUCCUUGGAUUUCUUAUACUAAAACAUCAAUGAGAAGAGGUCACGAUCCCAAGGCAGAAAACACAAACACAGUAUCAAGAAGAGGUCACGAUCCUCCGUUCAUCAAGAAGAGCCUGAUUUGAAGAAUGAUGCUUGACCUUUAAGUAUAUCAACCUGCUUAUAACAGUGUUGGUGAUUGCCUUAAGGGUAACCAUUGGAGGCUUGCAAUCAUUUCUUAAAAUUCUAUUGUUUCUGUGUCUCCAAAUGGCAUAAACCAGGCCUUUGUUACAAUAGAAGCAAAGUCAGUAAUGCAGGCACCAUUAUACACAUUAUACUGUACUUGGGCAGUACAGUAUGGAAGUUGCAACUUUGAAUUUAACAUAUUUCCAAAACCAUUCAUAAGAGCACUGUAAGUUGCAACUUGUGGGAGUAUAUUCCUUUUAAGCAUGUGAGGGAUUAGUUUCUGGUUCUCCUUGCUUGCACAUACUCUUCAGGACUGCAUUGUAACUUUGUAAGUGUUACGAGUAAAGGCUUCUGCUUUGAUGAUACAUCUCGUCAAUAAAUCUCAAGGCUUCCUCCCCCUGCAAUACCCAUCAACAACGAUAGUGCAAGGGAUAUCAUCAGGUCUAGCACACCCAUUACUUCAUUAGAUAAAGGUAUUUGUUCCUCUAUGGUUGAUGCAUAAGUUUUGUAUGUGAAUUCAGGUUUUAGACAUGGCAUUGUCCCUUGGCAAUUUUUCUGUCCCUCUUUGUAUCAUUGCCCCUGAGGAACUUUGCCGUUUACCAACGCCUCUGCUGUGCACAUAAUCCCUUCUAAGACAAAAAGACUAAACUGUGUACGUUUUCUAAUCUAUAUUCCAUCUAGAAUACUUCCUAUAGCUUCAAAGAUGACGGAAGCUAAAUUUUCGGAAGUAGCCGUAAUUACUGUGCUAGUUUCUUUGACUUCUAUAAGUGCUUCGCUAGGAUCAGUUACAAGUAUUGCAGUAGAAUUUUCUGAUUCAUAACCACUACUUGCUUUUCGGACAGUACCCUUGAUGCCCCUGCUUGACAACACUGUCAAAAGCCUAUCUAAAUCAGGUAAACCCCAGUGUACCAGUGGUCUGAUCUCCAAGGACUCCUGCACUUUUCCAGAGAUCAAUCGUUGUUUGCCACGCUCUCUAAAAAGCUCUCCCUUCAACCUUGCUAUACUAAUAUCUCCCUGUUUCAAUUUUCUCCAAUCAAAGUGGCAAGCCAAGUCAGUUGCAAUCUCCAAUUCUGUCUUGUCCUUCAAGCUUGGUAUACAUAAUGUUUCAUCAGGGCAGUACUGGAAGAUCGAGAAUGCAGUUGAUUUUGAAGAGUUAAUCAGCUUCAAAUCCUUGGGGAACUGUUAGAGCAGAAAGAAAAGGACUUAUUAUGUUAAAAAGAAAAACGAGAAUCUUAUAAAUCAGGAAAAGGACAUCAUGACAAGGAAAAGGAAACUACCAGGAGAACUUUUGGUUGCAGUACGUUCAGCAAUGGUUGAACUUUCAGCAACCUACAAAAAGCAGAGAAAUGUUAAAGUAGUUGCUGACUAACUUGCAUGCUAAGUCAGGAGAUGCUAUAAACCAGAUAACUUCCAUACUUAUGCACAUAUAAGAAACAUGAUAACUGAUUUGCCUUCUGGCUGGAAAAUGACAGAAUAAUACCACCACCGCCGUACCCAUUUUCAAACAAGCAAACAGCUCUCACACAUACCACAAAUUUGGAGCUGGAAGGCCACCAAAAAGUAUGUGCCAAUAUUAAAUCUCAGUUUCCAAUUUGUUUUAACUCUUAAAAUGUGUUGGAAAAUUCAAUACAACAUGCAAAACCUUCAGUGAAAACAAGUUAUGUCCAAUUAUCCAUCAUUGAGGGUCAAGAUACACGAGGUUAGCCCUAUGGUGGGAUUUAUAGUUUUAAUCGCUCUAAGAAAUUUAAAGCAAGUGGUUUGGUGCUGAAAGUGGUCUUUUAUCGAGAACUAUCAGAUUAUAUUAUUAUGAAGCAAAAUGUUUUGUCAGUGUCAGAAAGAUCCUACCUUAUCCCAGAAAGAAAUGAGCACCGAAGAACCUUCAUUGCCAUUGGCUUGAAAGGCAAGAGAGCCAGUUCAACGUCCAAUUCAUUCUGCAAAUACAGAUACAAGGUGAAUGCUUUAUGAAGAGUUCUUUGAACUACUUAAAUGCAUAUCUAGUGAUAGUAUAUAUUAGUACCUCAAGAAUGAGUAGAGAAUUCUGAUCCCCACACCAGCGCUGCAGGAAAUGAACAGAAGGACCAAGCCGCAGACUCCAGUGAGGAGAGAAAACUAUGCAUGGCUCCUGCCAAUUCAUUCUGUCACAACUGUCAAUUUCUGGGGAUGACAUAGAUAGGAUAACCCUAGUACAAGUUGCUAAGCAACCCACAAUUAACCACUAAAUGCCGUUUAAUUGUGCAUCUUUCUUAAAAUCCACAAAUAUGCCUUUUUCUUUCUUUUUCAAUACAAACAGACUUCAACAUAAUAUAUAUGGCACGAUAAAACGUUAAAACAUACUGCUUCCUCUCAUUUGCAUUUUUUUCUCUUCCUUCUAAUCAUUUCAAAUCUCAUACUAAGUGAGCAACAACCUUUCAGCUGUGAGAAGCAGACAAACUCCCAAUGUAUGUUACCAACACAGAAAAGAAAAGAAUAGCUGUCCUAACUUUCCAACUUUUGGUUGUUGAGCAAAAUGAAACAGAAAACACAAUGACAGGGGAAUUAACUCGUUUUUUCUUAGGAAUCGUUGUCCAUAACAUAGUUGAGGUUUAAAAUGAAAGUUGGCUCAUCACAAAAAGAAUGCAGUUUUGGUAGUAUUCUCCUUUUUUUUCUUUGUACAAAACAUAAAUCAAAGUAUCAAACAACCAGACAGAAACACAAACAUCUCAGACCAAACGUAAAUCAAUAACACUGUUCGCUGUCAAUCACUCAAUGCCCUCAAGGACCAAACACAAUCUCAUGAAAACUAAGAUGGCAAAAAAAGCAAGUGAACAGUACACUAAUCACCAAGAAGAAAUAUCUUAAAAUAAGAGAGAAAAAUACAGAACUCACAAUAACUUAGGUGAAUGGAUAGCCGGAAAAACAUGAAGCUUCCCCUCAUUUAUAAGCUCAACAUGUCCAAACAAUGGCUGACCAGAAAACAUCUGUAGGAGCAAUUCAAGGAGUGAUUACAAUGCCUCCAGUUGGCAAUCAAGAAAGAAAACUCGAAACAGAGUGGAAAGAAGACUAAGCCCUAUGUGUACCUUUUCUUGCUGCGGUUUGCAUAGCCAUUCAGGUAUGAUGUUGGUGAAAGCCAAUAAUUCUUCACCAACAGAAGAAACAACAUAAAUAGGAACCUGUACCAGGAAAGAGAAUUUCAAACUGCCACAUUAUUUAGAAUCCCUCAUUUUUUGGGGGUCUAGAAGGGGUGUGGAAACACUAAGAAAUAAAAUAAAGUAAAUCCACAUUACCCGAUCAGGCCCAGUUGAUUAGAAAUAGUUCUAGGAAAAAAAAUUCAGAAUUGAAUAAAUAUAUUAUCUACCUUCAAACCUGAAACAUCCAGUGAAGCCGAUAUUUGUUCUAACAGCUGCAGAACAAUUCCAAGUCGACUAACAGGGAUUAGGACCGAGCCCCCAGCUUUUACAGAAUCAAUGACAUGGGAGGACAAAAACGUUAGUUUCUGCAUUUCCUCCAAAUUAUCAUCAACAUGAAGUACCGACUCGGCCCAGUCUUGCCCAUCAUUUUCUUCAUUUCUACACAUCAAUUCCAAAAGUGGAAAGCACCGAUUUUCAGCAUUUGAUGAAAGCAUGAGAAACAAUUAAGAACAAAAGUGGGAAAAUCAUAGGAUUAGUAAAAGAUAAGGUCUACAUUAAGUAAAGCAUCAUACUUGCGAGAUGAAAAAUCAUGUGUAGUUGGAACUAAGUUAUUAUGAUCACUUUCAAUAUCUUCUGUACCAUCCAAGGAAGAAAAAUCCGAAUAUAUCACAGUAUCGUUCCCUCGAAGAGCAAGAUAAUCAAAAUUCAUUGCAUGAGCAGAAUCAAAGAUGGAACUAGAUAUGAAUGCAAUUCCUCCUUUUGGACCAUUUAUUGUCCAAUUACAAGUGCCUAUUUCCAAACCCGAACUGAAUGCCUUUAUAAUCAAUGUACUGUUGUAGCAGGUCUCUUCUGCAUAUUUAAGUCUCUGAGCCUUCUGCACGCAACCCUUCACAUCUGCUGCACUGAGAAGUACUCUUUAUUAACAUUUUCAAAUAGAGAAACUUGCUAUCAAUGUCAGAAAUUAGAUGAGAUACACAAGUAUUGUAGUAAAAACCUAAAAGUAGCAAUUCCAACUGUUUAUCCCAUACAUCUAUCUAAGUUAUAUUGGUUUUACGGAAAACUUCAGCAAAGCCACCUAAGCUAUUGACCGAGUUACAGUUUUGGGGCCCGAACCUUGAACUUUAGGAUUGAAAGGCCUGUGAGGGUAUGUUAAUCCAUUCAAGAAGAGAGAAAAGGAAGAGACUAAAACACAGGAAACAAGGGAAUAGAUGGAAAACAAUGCUAAAAAAGUAGAAAUAAGAACCAUGUGCAUGACACAAAUUAUAGUUGAACCAAAUUAUUACAGUUGGAAACCAUUAGAUAUAUCCAAAAAUUUGAGAGACACAAAACUAUUGAAGUCUGAAUUUUUUUGUUCAUGCCCCAAAAGAAUCAAGUCAAUAGUUUAGGGCACAUUGCCCUUUUUAUCCCUUAAUAUAAUAUAUACGCCGUGCCCCAGAAUUGGGAUGCGGUACAAAAAUUAUAACACGACAUAAAAUGUAGAAAGACAGAAGAAAUAUAGAUUAUGAGUCCUACGCCAAAUCCGUAAAGUUUCAGAGAUGGGACAUUGUAAUUAGUGUACCGCCAGUUGAAUAUAAAAAAUAGCAAGAACAUGCAAAUAUCUACUCCGUAACAGGAAAUCAUAGUGAGGACAUAAACACGUUCAACACCUUGCCCAACCAAGAAGUAGUCAUAAGACAAACAACAUUAACUAUUUGGUGCAACAUUAAGUACCUGUAUAAGGGCAUCCAACUACCCAGCUCUCCUCCGUCCUUGCCUAAAGCUACAUCUCUCAAGGAAGAUGGUAGAAGCUUAAGCUCUUCCCACUUCAUCCACGAAGGAAAAGACGACUCUUCAGGUCCCAAAAGCUGCCUGAUUUCCAUGUGCAUUGAAACAAGAUCGUCCAUCAUAAGCUGUCCGAGUCUCGCUGUGGCUUCAGUCACGUAUAUCUGAGCAUUUUAAAAGCAGAGAAAUUAAGAUAAUCAGAUUAAAAUCCUUCAAGAUGCUAAAAAUGAAGUUAAGAACUACUUCACUGAAACAGCAAAAAUAGUGCAUGACUAUAUCUUUUAAUGCUACACCAUACCUUAGCAGAGAAACCAUUUGUUCGAGUAAGAAAUGGUAACCCUAGCAUACCCAUCGGACUUGAUAUCAAUACCACAUCAAUAAAAGAGGUGUUCCAUAGAUGCAUGUUCCUGACAGUUUUGUACCAGGGCUCUGCAUAUAUUAAGUCAUCGGCAUCAAGGGGCCUUUCAACUUUUUGUCUCUUCCGAACCAAGGAUUCUUCACGAUCUGACGGACCACUACAGUUUAAGCAUUUGGGAUUUUCUUUAUCUAUGGAACUAGCUUUUGAAGCAGAAGGAAUAGGUGAGAAGAUUGUAAGAGCAGAAAGGUCUAAUGGGCAAUCCAAUAAAAUCCUAAAACCACAUAUAUCGAGUAUGUGACAAGGUGGGAAAUGGUACCCUCCACCUUUGCUCAAACAAGUCUGCAAAAAAAUAUAGUAACAGAACAUCAAAACAAAAUAAAUGCAAUCCAAGAACACGUAUGUGUUAGAAAUAUACAUAUAGAAGAUAAAUGCUUGUGUCUAUAAAUAUAGACAAAGAAACUUACAAACUUCAUAGGUCCGAAUUUGGUAGGUCAGACAGUAUUUUACACAGUACUGCAGAGUGUGCACUUUAAUGAGUUGUAUUCUUUUGGAUAAGAGGCUGAUUAAGUGUGCUGUGUUUGACACUGCACCGGAUAAGAAAUUAAUGAACUGUUAAAAAGUUGAUUAUAUAUAUAUAUAUAUUGAAUUAACAGUUAGGGGAACAGAUUAUACAACUGUUGAUACAAAUUCAGCAACUACAUAGCCUAUCUUCAUACAUUAUAUAACUCAAGUCAAAUUAAAAGCCAAUGCUCUGUUUUUCGUAUAAGAUAGACUUGAAGAGCACCUUCAGCACUCAAAUCAAGACCAGAACUUUAUCCUAGUUCAAAGUAUCCUUGAAACAAAAACCCAAAAUUCUCCUCUUUCGUUGUAAACCGAAGUAUCCUUGAAUAGCUUAAUAAACCCCAAUUUGUAUCCAAUAUAACGAAAUUGAACAAUAAUUCAAACACAUACUUACAAUAUAGAUUGAUAAGAAAAUGAAAGAGAUUGAGCCUGAGCUGAUGAUGAAGAAGAAGAAGCAGCAGCAGCAGCAGCGAUAAGAGAGGAGUGAAGGUUUUAAGGAGUUUAUGAAACAUUUUUAAAGUUCCGAAAUUGUCCUUUCACUUGUUUGAUAUUUACAUUCAGAAAGGUCCUUUUAUGAUUUUAUCCCGUUUCUUCUUCUUUAGUGAGGACUGAACACUGAGCAGCAGCAGCAGCGGUCUCAGAAACUUGGUAAAACUGAAGGUAUUGCUUGCUUCCUCCAAUUGCUUUAUAAAGUUUGGGUUUUUGAUUUUACUUGUUAUGGUAAAGGUUGAAGCUUUGGUGUUGCUUUUGGUCUGGGGCUUGAUUUUCAAUUUGAAUGAGUAUUAAAACCAAUAGCCCAACUCAGUUGGAAGUUCUGUUUUGAUGUCAAACAUCUUUAGCGAUUCUUUCAUUGAUGCUUAAGUGGGUUGUUUAUAGUCUCUUGAAGGAUUAGUAUUACUUUAUAUUCUUCAAUUUGUGUACUCAAGUGAUGUGCCUGUUUAAGCUGCUUGAGUUGGUGUUUUAGUUUAUUGUACUAGUUUCGAGUGAGUUGUAGAUUCUUAGAUUCAAGUGGGAUAUGAUCAAUGAAAGAUUCAAGUAUUGGUUGUGUUUGUGGUCCAAAUGCGUUUCUAAUGAUUUAUGUCUCUCUUUAUCUGAAUUCAUCUUCAUUUUUACUCUUCUGAUUUUCUGCUGCAGACAUCAAGUUUUCAAAUCCUAGAAUAGUCUGUUUAGUUUAACAACACAUUUGCUUCAUUUCCUGUUGUAGUUAUGGUAAGCGAAUUAGUAGCUAAAGUUUAGGUAUAUCUUCGUUUAAACUUUAGCCUGAGUGAUACAACACAACAGAGAUGGAGACAAGGGUAUUGCCGCUUACUUGCACAUUGCUUCCGUUUUCACUUAUGCCAUGCUCUUCAACCUAUCCAAGUCUUUGGCCCUCACCUUUAAGACCCGCAUAUGCACCUGGCACAGGUAGAUUUACCUUUGAAACUUUUAUUACUCGUAUCACUUGGUUUUAGAAUUCUUUAGUUUUUCCUAAUUCAUUCUUUCUGGGCCCUAUAAUGGCAGUUUUAAGGAGGAGCGUGAAAAAGGAUGAGCCAAUAUUAGAAGGUCUUCCGAAAGAAUACUAUGAUGAUGUAAGUGAAUUGUCAUCCACAGAAAAUAAUUCUAGUUUUGGAAGCUGGAAGUGGAAGUGAAGUCUUCUCUGAAUCAGGAAUGGCAAGCUCAACAGAGGGAGAAAACAAAGGAGUUACAUCGAAGACGUCAAGAGGAAGAUGAAGAGGAGGAGAGAAAGAUUGAAGAGUAUCGUGAGAUUGGCAUGAGGUUGAAGGAUUAUCCAGAAGAUGAAGUUCGGAAAGCUCGGAAAUUGAUUUCUAGCUUUAUUAGAGCGGCUGAAGAAGUGGAAGAGGUAAUAUCAGAAAUCCAUUAUGCAGACAUGCAGUAAUUGUGCUUUAUUCUUUAUGAGCACAUACCACCUCCAGUUCCUUUUGAGACUGAGUUCAUUGAUGUUUAUAUAUGUAUGCAGAAAAUUGAAGAAGCUGGUGAGAAAGGGGAACUGACUGAACUUGUUUUGAUGGUCAUAUGGAAUCGCCUUGACCUCGCCCGACGGGAUGUAAGUUGGUGGUGAGAUGGCUUUAACAUUUCCGCACUUAAUGUAUCUAAUUUUAAGACAACCUUUAUCUUACGUAGCAUAUGUGAUACUAUAUUUUUAAGUAUCAGGGAUAUGCAGCGAUAUUUAAUGUAAAAGCUUUGAUAAACAAAUUCAAUAUUUUCCCUUUACAAAGGUACUUAGAAGGGCUUUGAAAGAAAUUGUUUUCUUACAACCUAUCUAUAAGUCAAUAAACUAGUUAUCCCUGCUUAAAGUUUGAGAUCUGUAGGAAUGUGAUAUUAAUAGUCAGUUAAUAGUACUUUUUCUCUCCAAACUAAUGAUUUUGGCUGUUGGCGAAAUUCUUACAGGAUGAAAAGGAUGUUAUUAGAAGUCUUGAUUUGCUCUAUAGAAGGAUUGAGGUAUGAGUCCCAUCCUUCCUAGUUCCAACCUCUAAUUUAAUGAUUUCACCAUUUUGAAACCAGCAGUUGGGAAAGUCUAAGCUGUGUAAUUACUUACUUAAUAGUUAUUAAUUAGUUUCAGCCUGAACAUCUUCAAGAGUUGGUUUAUAUAAGCCUUGAUACCCUUUCUAAUAUUUAUCAACAUUUUAGGCUGAGAUUCUGAAACAGGAGGCCUCACCUGCCAUGCGAUUGCUCAACGAUCUUUUAAAUAUGCAUGAUGGUUUUGAUGAUGAAGCGUGGCAGAAGGAAUGUAAAAAGUGCAUGAUUGAUACAUUUCCACGCGAGGAUCCAUUUAGCAUUUUAGUCCCAGAUGGAUUUGACCUUGAUAAGGUAUGCUGUAAUUAUGUUGAUUCCAGGCUUAUGAUUAAGUUGUUUUCAGAUUUAUACUUUUGUACGGCUUUGAACUUCUACCCUAGGGUUUCAGUAUUGAAAUAUUAUAAAAAUCUGGGGUUAUUUCAUUUUAUGUUUUCAGAACGUGGGGGUUGCAUUUGUUGGUUUUAAGCAGAUCUGAUGAACAUCAGAUGAUUUAGUCCUGUUGUUUAUCUUUACGUCUUGGGUGAAAAUGUGAAAUUCAUGAUCAUUCCUUGUAAGGAAGAGAAAGGAGUUGAAGUUGGAAUUAUUUGUUAGUAAAUUUUGGCAGAAAACUAAUGGAUUAGAUUGCAAGUCAACAAUUGCGCAUGUGGCAUUUCUAAUCUCAUAAUCCUGAUGUCUGAUGUUGUCAACAAAUUUCUGUAACUGUUGUUAUUAUUCUCAUCACUGGUAUUGAAGUUAUUUAUUGUUUGAUAACCUUUUCCUCCUUUAGCAUGAAGGACCUCUUCGGCUACCACUUGAAGUUGAUGACGCUCUAUUGAGGGUAGACUUUGUAAGAGAGGUUGAUGCACUGCUGCAAGAGGUCUGGGCUGUGCAAAGCGAGGUACAAAUUACACAAGAGCUUGAUCCUGAAUCCAUUGCAAGUAGAUUGAAGCAGCAGGAGAAGCAACGUGCCAUCCGGCUGGUAGAAACUAUACUAAACCUGGCCAUUGAUUUAAAAUGGUAGCAACUUACUGUCUAUUACAGGAGGGAGUUGUUGCGAAUGCAACAUGAGGAACUCUUAGACACAGCUGCCCUUAUACAGCAGCGCUCAGAAUGAUGUGAGCCCCACGCUGAGAGGUGGAUAGCGGCCGACACCAUAGAUUUUCUCUUCCAACCCUUUGCGAUGGUACCACUCUUCAGCCACUUUCAGGACUCCUCACUAUUGGUAGGUAUUGGAGUUAUUUGUCAAGUAGUAGAGAAAAAUGUUGAAGAUAGUUUCUGAAUUCUUGGCAUGGUAAUAUUUCAUAUCAGAAGCAUAUAUACAAAAGCACAGCAGAUGGCAAUGCAGUUCUAUUGCAACCCUGUAUUCUAAAACGUUGUUGAAUGAAUCAAAACAACAGAAUUAAGCCUUACAUGUGUUAAUGUCUUGUAACUGGACAGCGGGACUGUGAUAUGGAUCACAUUACAUCCACAUUUAAAAUCUGAGAAUCUUAUGAUCUCUAACAUGCAUGUUGGAAAUUAAAAGAUUGUUUUGAGAGUAUGUUUCAGUUGAGCUUUAUUGUUGUUUAGGGAUUAAAAAUUUGCAAGUCUACAUUUUGGGGCGGCAUUUUUUUUAUUUUUGCCGAAGUGACACAAUGGGCAAAACAUGUUUUGCUCCAACCAGUCCACAAUGGAAUCUCCAUGAUAAAGACUGGAACAUGGCAUGAGAAACUAUGAGUUGUACCAAAGGUAAAAGGCAACAGAACUAUGAGAAGUAACCCUAAGUGAUUUAUAUGCAUGUAUUUCCAUUUCAAUUUUAAAGGAAGGAACUGGGUUCUAUACUCCACAAAGCAAUUAUUGGAAACCAACGAAUUUGUCAAUGGAUGGUAACUGUACCUAUAUGUUGUCUACCUGCUUGCAUGUGUCCCAGAAUUAUAAUCACAAGUUCACAACAACUCACAAGCUAGAGAGGCUACGUCGUGACAUGCACAUAUUCAGUUCUCUUGGAUUAUAUAAGAUGCAACCAAAAAAAAAACCCCCUAAGAAUAAUCAGCUCACUUGGUUAUAUGAGUUUCAGUUUGAGUAUGAUGUCAGGGAUAUCAUGACCUUCGUACAAAAGGUCAAAAGCUAUAGAAUGACCUUUCAUAACUUCUUAGUGUGACAAAUUGGUUCUAACUAGACAAUUAUGGGACUACCUUCCAUGCUACCUCACCAUCAAGCUGGACAAAAUAACAUCAAGAUGAACUUGAAGUUCCCAUUCUUUUAUGUUAUGCAAAUGGCCUUAUUCAGCUGCCGUUUCUUCCAUUUUCCAUUUCUCUCAUAAAGCAAUACUUUCAUUACUUUGGGAGCAUCUAAUGAGAAUCAGAUACGUUGUUUCAGGUUAUUAUGUUGAAUCUUAUUCAGAAUUCCAAUACGUACAACCAAGGCCAGUCCUGAGUUAACCGGGGCUCUAGGUGAAAAACAAAAGGGAAAAUGACCAUUUGCACAAAAAUAGCAAAACUAGAACCCAAUUCAAUGAAAAUCUAAUUCAUAAGCCCAUUUCAAUGAAACUUGAGUAAAAGACAAAUUUACCCUCAUUUCUAUUCAACUAACCCUCUCUCUCCUUUUUUUCCCGAUCUGAAUUCUUCUUCUUCUUCUUUUUCUACCUCUUUCUCUGUCUUGUUGCAGAGUCGUCUUCUUGAGUCCUCAACGACGAUGUUGCCGCCCUGCCUCGGGAGACAAGAAUUGCUAGAAUACUCUACAGAUCCCCGACGUCUGAUUCCUUCUCGGAGACUGAGGCCUCGUCGCUCGUCGGUUGUCGCCGCUGGUACCUCGUCGGUCGCCGCUUGUCUCUCGGCACUCGUCGGUCGCCGCUCAUCUCUCAGUGCUCAUCAGUCGCCACUCGUCGGUCUUCUCUUGGCGCUCGGCGCUCGGCCUCCAUGGCCAAAUCGAAGGCGUCGGGUGUGUGGUGAGGGAGGUGAAGUAGUUUCGAUGAGGGAGGAGUAGGUAUGGUGAGGGAAGGCGCAUGGUAAGGGAGUAGAUCCGGUGUGUGAGGGUGCAUGGCUCUGUGGUAGGUGUAGUUGUAUUUUUGUAGCUGAUAGGUAGCUUGAUUAUUUGUAUUGUAGUUUUGAUUGAUCAUUGGCGGUCAAUAACUCGAUUAUGUUCUAAUAUUUCUUCUUUUCUAUUACAAUAAGCUGAAAUAAGUUGAUUAUUAGGGGUCAGUAACUGAUUAUUGGGGGUCAAUAACCAACUUAUUAGGGGUAUUGGGGAUCUAUAUUGGGGAUCAAUAUCUGGUUAUUGGGGGUCAGUAACCGAUUACUGGUGGUCAGUAACUGAUUACUGGUGGUCAAUAACUGAUUAUUGGGGAUCAGUAACUGAGUUACUGGGGGUUAGUAACCAAGUUAUUAGUUACCUAAAUCUGGCGAUCGGAGAAAAUCUAGGGGUUGGUGACCGGAAUCCUGCAACCGGUGACCGAAAUCAAGAAUCUGGCGGCCGGAAAAAAUCCAGCAACCGGUGACCGAAAUUCGACGGCUGGUGACUGGAGAACGGUGAGGCUCCGGCAAAGUCUUUUCUCUCUUGCAUUUUCUCUCUCUCUCUCUCUCUAUGCAUAUUUAAGAGGUGAGGGUAAAAUAGUCUUAAAAUAAUAUAGUUUGUUAAGACUUUAGUAAAGAUUUGUGCAUAAAAAAAGGUUACCUUAUAUUGGAAUGGGUUCAUGAAAAAGAUUGUCAUUAGAAUGCAUGGGAAAUAAGAGGUUUAAAUUAGUAGUAAAUGAGCAUUUUUCCAAAACAAAAUUGGGGCUCCCCAUCUUUUAAUAAAUUCAUUUUCCCUUCAAAAGAUAAAAAUUAAGCUAGUAUGCUCAAACAAUUAAUAUAGGGCCUGUACAAUUACUAGUUGGUAACAAAUGGUUUAAACUAAAAAGUAGUAGAGAAACUCAGAAGCUCAAUCAAACUAAGAAAAUGAAAUAAUGAAAACAUACCUAAUUAAAAUCCCAAAUAAUUGAAAAUAAUUUGAAAAGAAGACUAAGAAAAUUCAGAAAAUUUAUGUUUCAUCAAUUGAAGAAGAAAAAGGAAAUAAAAUAAUAAUAUUGCAUAUAGUGAUGAUAAUCUAACAAUGAUAAAUCGAUGAUUUGAAAUUAUGGUUGAGAAUUUAAUGGGAGACGAAGAAGAGUCAUGCGCAGAUGAAGGAGAAUAAUUAAAGCUAAUUAUUAUGUAUUGUCACAAUUUUUAUUUUCUUUUUCUUUUUUUUACUUUUAUAUAUAAUAGGAGAUUUUUUUAGGGGCCCAUGAAAUCUGGGGCUCUAGACCUGUGUCUUCUGGGCCUAUGCUCAAGGUCGGCCCUGCGUACAGCUAGACUUGCAACCAGAAGUGAUACAAUUAAUUUUAGUCUCUAGGAAAGCAAAGAUAUAGAGACCAUGCCAGAAACGGCAACGAGCUAGAGAUACUCACAGCUGCUACUUUGCUAGUCAUUAGUGGUUCUACUGUAUACUUCCAGAAAAGGCAGACAGCUACAAUGGCAGGAAGCAACACAAGGUUUUAAAUGCAAAGCCUGUGCUGCAUGAGGAGUCUCUUCACACUUGCGGCCUCCAGUUUCUCUAAGGCUGGGCAUAAAACCCGACCAAGAAAAAAAAACCGGCAAAACCAACCCGACCUGACCUGUCCGGGCUGGGCUUUUUUCGGUCCUUGUUUGUUUUUCUACUAGUAUGGUUUGGGCCUGGUCCUUAAAAGUUAGAAAUCCCUAAAGCCCGAAGGCCUGACUUAUGUAUGUAUACACAAUUAUUGCUAGUUUAAGAGGUUCUACAGUAGUAAUAUAGACCUCACUACACCAGAUUCUUAGUCUAACAUUUUAAGGGACUAAAAAGCAAAACCACUAUUCUCCUCUCUUCCUUUUCAAACCCAUCCCGAACUAUAAUAUUGAUGAUAGUGAUUCUCCAGUAGUAAUAUAGGCCUUAUUCUCUCUCAGUCAUUCUCUCAGAUCUCUCUCACAUGAUAGUGAUGACACCCCAAUUCUCUGACUCAACCCCACACUCCUCCGCCAAUUAUCAAUAUUACCUCCACCCCCGACGUCGCCGAGGACGAUAUCAUGUGGACCAACAACUACGCCACCGAAUCAAACCAUCACUACCAUAACGAUCACAACAACAACAACAACUCUACACCUCCCUCUUCCGCAUCCUCAAUCCUCACCGGUGAGAUCAAGUAAGGAUUUGGUGGUGAUUUAAAUAAGGUUUGUAAACUGUGGGAUCUGGGUUUGGUGGUGAUUGCUGGCAGAGUGGCAGUGAGAUUAGAUAAGGGACCGAAGGCCCGAAGGACCGACCGGUUUUUGGUUGGUCCGGUCUUCUAUCAAUCCCAGCUUUUUUUACGUUGAAGCUCGGCCCGGAUUUCGUACGCCGAUCUUGGUUCCUGUCAGAAUACUACCAGUCUGGGACCGUGCCCAGCCCUAGUUUCUCUAGCUUUUUUUUUUCUUGAAAAGCAAUUCAUUGAAACAAACUAAUUAACGAUUACAAUCGUUUCGAAAUGCAUCCCUUAUGAAAUCAGGAGCAAUAAUAAACCAAGUUUGGCUAUCACUGUUUCUUAAAGCAUGAGAAGCAAAUCCAUGAGCUAUUAAAUUUGCUUUCCUUGGAACAUAUUGAAUUCUAUAACCAACAUGAUUUUGUAGCAGUUGUCUAACUUCAUCAACCAUCAGACUCAUUGUAGAGAGAUCAUGAUCACUUGCAUGAAUAGCUUGGACCAAUAAAGAACGGAUUGAGCUCCUCUGCAGAAACUUUAUAUAAAGUUCAUAAAAUCUUGAUCCUUCAUCUAAUCUAAUGGUCAUAUAGUUGCCACAUCCUCUAAUUUCACAUUUAGAUGCUUUCUCUCAAGCGAGCGUUAACGUUAAUCGAAAUAUCAACACAACCAUCACAACCAAAGCGUCGUCUUCUUCUUCCUCACCUCCUUUCUCAUACUCUACUGCCAUAUCUCAUAUUUGCAUGACUGCAACUCUACGCAUAUUGAUUACGUGCAUUUAUAUACACGUAAUUACUACUUUAACACUAGGAUUUAGCUAAUUUUUAAGUUAAUUAUAAUGUAAUUAAUCUAAUUUUAUUUAUUUGUAGGAAAUAAGCGGAAAUGUGGAUUUCGAAAGAAAAUAGUGUAACAUUAUAGCAAAAUGGAGAUUCCGAGAAAUUGACAAAAUUAGAGAAUAAUUAAUUAACCAAAUAAUUGAUUAACCAUUGAGUUGGUUAAUUAACUUGGUUAAUUACUCAAUUAAGGAAGGCAAAGCUCCAUCAGGUGCCAUCCCUUCUUCAUUCAUGGACCAAUUGCCAGCUGACAUGUGGCGCCUCUACCCUCAUCUCCAGCCACACCCGUGCACCCUAGAAACUCAAUUAUACAUAUAUACAUCAUCUCAUUCUCAGAGGAGGCGAAGACGAGCCGCAAACAGAGGAGAAGAGAGAGAGAGACGCACAAAGCAAAGGGAAGGGCUCUUGCCCUUUCCCGUCACCAACUCCAUUCAUCACCGUUUCAUCCCUUCAUCUCUUCUCAUUUCACAAUUUAGUUAAUUUCUUUUGGGAAUUUGAAGGACUCACUCAAGACUUCUUCAUCAUCAAGAGCACCACCUCUUCAAUUGGGUAGUUAGGUGAAAAGCUUUCUUGGGUUCAUACUAGCUCAUAGCUUGAAGUGACAAAGCUAGCUCUCCCCCUCUCUUCCUUAUUGUCUAUUUCUUUAUCUUAUAUGCUAUUGAUGAUGUAUUUGACUAUGGGUUGUGAGUGAUUCAAUUUUGGGAGCUAGGGUAUUGAAGCCGUAAACUCAUUUUGUAUAAUGUUGGUACUUUGAUUGUUAUAAAUGCAAUUUUCAUUGUGUAUGCUUUGAAUCCGAAUGUGUUGGUCCUUAGAAGCAUGUUUCUAGGCUUUGUCACCCUUUGAGAUAAUGUUGUGGACAAUUGAUGGAUAGAUUGAUAAAUUGACAACUUAUUAGUCUUGUGCAUCUAGGAUUUGAAAUGUGGUAACCAUUAGCUAGCUUAAUUGUAGCUAAGCUUGCUUGGGUCCCUAUUAUCUUGCACUCUAGGCCUGUAAUUUAGAUAUUACGGCCUUAACCGGCGUAGUGCCCAUUUUAGAGAGUUGAUGGGGCCUUAACCGGCAUAAUCGAUACACCGAAAGGAUAAUUGGUCUAGUAGCCUUAACCGAACCUAGAUACGAGACUUAGCACAAUAGGAUAUGUAUUUGUGAAAUUGGUAUCGAUGCUUGCAAAUGAGUUAGUGUGGAUCACCUGACACUCCCAUGUUCCCAUAAUUCUUUAGUUCAUUAGUUAGUAGUUUAUUUUUCAUUUAGUUUUUCGUCAAUUUAAUUAAUUCUCAUUCAACCUCCAUUUUAUAUAUUGACUCAUUGUAAUUACCCAUCACUAGGCAUUUAGUAUUGAUUAGGCUUUGGUGAUAACCGAGGCCGAGCAUUGUUAAGGCUUGGUGCUUUAGAGUAGCAUUUUUCUUCUUUUUCUUUGUUUGCUUAGUGACUUUUGUUCCGAUUAGCUUAGGAUUGUGGGUUAGCCACUAAUCCUCGUGAUACGAUAACUUGGGCAUAAAUACUUCCUUAUUUUGACAACUAUAUGCUCGCUUGCGUGAAUUGUAUCCAAGUCACACAUCAACAUGGCCAAUUAGAAAACCCAGAUAUAAUCCCUUUUGGGUUUUGCUCCUUCUCCAUUGAUCUUUAAAAAACAGUUGCCACCAUUAUUAAUUGUUAGGUCACCAGAGCUAAAAUCUAGGUCCAUCAAAAUGAAAAAUCAUGUUUGGGUUUCCUCAUUUCAUCUCCUUUUCUCCAUUAAUCAUCCAUUUCAAUCUUCUGCCGCGAAAAAACUUCAUCUCCCAAUCUCCAAUUUCUCCUAAAUUAAUCCCCAUUCACCUUAGACGACUAAGUUUUUCUCCAAUUGAUGGUUAGAAGAUAGACAAAAUGUUUUUCAUCUCCAAGAAUCCAACAGCCUAAUUGAUGGUGAGCAAUCACAAACAUUUAAAAAGCAACAAGUUUGGUAAAAGAAAAAGGGUUCGAUGAGAAAUCCCAAAGUUUCUUCUUGUUGCUGGAGUUAACGGGGCAAGUGAACCACGGUUUAUACCAAAAGAUACAAAAUUAUGCAAUAAUGAUGUGUCAAUAAUCAGAGCCUUUAGAUUAGACAAAAAGCCGAGAUUUUAUAAACUUUAUCUAAAUUACAGACUCCUCACUUUAGAGGAGCCGAAUCCAGAACGAACAAUCAGAUUCAAGAAAAACCUGGUCAUAUUGAAGUGAUGCUGCCAGAUUGAUUCCCACUCUUAAUGCCAACAAUUCAGCAUGGAACAAUGAUGUUAUUAGAGGAAGAGGUCUACUUGUGCUAGCUUGAAAAUCACCAUUUGCAUCUCGGAUUACAACUCCAGCACCGCCCUUUUUUGUUGCUAGUUGGAAAGCACCAUCGCAAUUAACCUUUACCCAACUUUCUGGUGGUCUUGUCCACUUCACAGAUUUUCUUUCUUGCUUUGUAGGCUGCAGAUUGACUAUUUUAAAUUCCUCAUACCAACCCAGAGUGAGCAACACAGCCUCAGACGUGUGCUGGCUCUUCUGCUCCCAUAAUUGAGUAUUCCUGUUUUUCCAAAUCCCCCAUAAGAGUAUUAGGAACCUAGCUAUUUGCUCCUUUGUGAAGCUAGUAAUUAAAUCCAAAAACCAAUCUGUAAAAUUGACACCAUUUCCAAUAGACAGUGACAAAUUUGGUCUAUGCCACACGUCUUUUGCGUAAGGACAAACAGCCAAAAAAUGCAAACUGUUUUUCAAAUUAUGGGGACAUAAUACACAUCCCAUCUCGCCAUCAUAACCCUUGGCACUCAAACCCACUCUUGUGGGGAGAAUACUAGUUGUUGCCUUCCAUGAAUGCAUGGCUACCUUGCCAGGUAUAUUUGCAUCCCAAAUUGUCUUCCACACGGCUCUGUAAGGAUCAACAAGUGGUGAUGGGGCUAUAAUCACUCCCAAAGCCAAAUCACCAGCAACAAAGUAAGCACUAUUUGUAGUGAAGAUUUCCCUUUUUUGAAAGUGUCAAAUUUGUCUAUCACUGUGAGCUUGUCUUGUUAAAGGUAUACUCAAAAUCAAAUCAAUAUCAGUUUGGGUAAAGUACAUUUCAAGUUUCAAGUAAUUCCACAUUCCAACUGCAAGUAUCUUGAUCAACAAGUUCCACAACAAGACGAGGAGCAUUCUGAGAAGGUGGUGAAGAUGGCCCCCUUAGGUAUGUAUCCAGAUCCAAUUAUGAUUCUAUAUCUCAAUAUUUUCACCAUUUCCCACCUGCCAUCUGAGUCCUUGAACUAACAGUUGUCGAGCUUCUAUAAUAUUCCUCCAUGAAAAUGAGGGUGAUGUGAAAGAAUAAACUGUAGAAUGAAAUCGAAAACUCACAACCACAAAUGUAAAAUGUAGCAGAAAUAAAAUGAUAAGAACACUGAGAAUUAACGUGGUUUGGCAAAGUGCCUAUGUCUAUGGGGCAACAACAACAACAAUAAAGAACCUCCACUAUACGAAUAAAAGUUGCACGGAGAGAAACACUACUUCAAAACUCACACUUGAAGGGAUACACUCUCACACACUUUGUUUUGCUACACACACAAACUCUCUACUUAGGAGUUUUCUACGUCCAUGGGGCAACAACAACAACAAAGAACAUCCACUAUACAAAUAAAGGUUACACGGAGAGAAACACUAUUUCAAAACUCACACUUGAAGGGAUACACUCUCACACACUUUGUUUUGCUACCCACACAAACUCUCUACCUAGGAGUUUUCUAUCUCACUCUUGAUGAUCACACAAGAUGAGCUUCGAUUCUUCUAUAUAUUUUGCACUAUUGCAAAUGCCUCUAUAUAUAUAUAUAUAUAUAUAUAUAUANNNNNNNNNNNNNNNNNNNNGCGGAUUUCCACUUUACACU
rnacentral:lncRNA from 1 species